GUAUUGAUGGUGGGAGUAAAUAAUCGAUUCGUUAACUGAGCCAGAAGGUAUUAUGAGGAUAUUUAUUGGAUGGUCUAAAAGUUACAUGAACACUCUUUGUGGGAUAAAUUUUGAAGGCUAAAUGAAUAAUAUUUGUGGGAUGGAAGAAGUAUCUGUGGACAUCGACAGGGACGACGACUACUAUUGUUCGUUCGUCAACUUAAUACUAGCUCUCGUUCGUCAACUUAAUAGAUUAGUAUUAAUUUGCUUCCACGGAGAGGGACAGUAGGGUCUAUGAAUUAAUUACUCACGCCCUCGUCGAUCAUCUUCUUUAAUUUCCCCUACUUGCACAUUGGCUCAUCGGGACAUGGAAUCGCGGCUGCAUAUGUGUUGUUCAGUUCAGUUUCCUGCUAGCCCCAGUUCAAACUAAAGCUCCAUGCUAGCUGGGCUUUCUUAAUUCUGGGAUGCUGGACUGCCGUGCUCUGUCCUGGACACGGUACCGUCGUCUGUAUACAUAACUCAUAUUACUAGCUUCCCUCUUAGUUUUCUAACAGUUGACCGAAUUGACAUGUAUAUGCCUGAAAUAAUAUAUUGCCAAUCCAAUUAAUUUGUCUCCAACUUCUUCCUUCCCCGGCCCAGGAUAAAAACAAAUGCAAGCACCCGGCUAGACAUACUCCUCUCUUAAGAUAAGAAGACAUUAUGCUCCUUCUCUAGCUUCGCGCAAGGCGUAUGAUGUUUAAUUUUUUUCCACAGAAGCUUAAGUAGGAGAUAAGAUUGUACCGGUACAAGUAAACCGGACAUCUUAGUUUCCUUGUGUGCAAACCUAAAAAUAAAGGACCAUCCAACUACACUACUUAGGUCCUGUUUGGAUCCAGGGGCUACUCUGAUAAUCCAAAUAGUGGGGUUAAAAGUGGGCUAAAAAUUAGCCAACCUCCCCACUAAAGGGGUGUUUGGCUUCAGGGGCUAAAGUUUAGUCCUGUCACAUCGGAUGUUUAUAUACUAAUUAGGAAUAUUAAACAUAGUCUAAUUACAAAACUAAUUACACAGACGGAGUCUAAUUCAUGAGACGAAUCUAUUAAACCUAAUUAGUCCAUGAUUUGAUAAUGUGGUGCUACAAUAACCAUUUGCUAAUGAUGGAUUAAUUAGGCUUAAUAGAUUCAUCUCGCGAAUUAGCCUAGGGGUUCUGCAAUUAGUUUUAUAAUUAGUUCAUGUUUAGUCCCCCUAAUUAGCAUUCGAACAUUCGAUGUGACAGAGCUAAACUUUAACCCCUGGUAUCCAAACACCCCCUAAACUUUAGUUCAUUAGCCCUUCAAACCCAGCUAAUGGGAGCUAAUUUUAUACACGAAGGCAAAAGACUAAAAAUACCCUCCCGCUAAAAUCUUACCAUGUUUUCUCCUCCACCCCUAAGAAUAGAAUGGACUUUUACCAAUAAAUGGACUAAAAAUUAGCUCUAGCUCCAAAUAAGAUGGACUAAUUUUAGCCAACUAAAAUUUAAACGCCCAAACUUUAAUUUUUAGUCCAUCCAAAAGGUUUGCCCUUGAGCAUUUGGUCAUAUAUAUAGAGAGAGAGACGAGAGGAGUUCCUUAUGCAACUUGAUAAGAUCUAUACAAUGUUCUCUCCUCGAGUUUUUUUUAUAAAAAAACUAAGUCUCCUCCUCGAUCUUAUAGAAUACACAUAUGAUGGCAGGAAACUAGAGCUGGUAGCUCGAAUCUUCAAUUCUCCACAUGAUGGCAGGCUGCACCAUAUCAUUGCAUUGCAUUGGUUGGUUGGGUGUGUGUGUGUGUUUGAUUCGCAUAUAUGAAACAUACAUUUAAUAUAUAUCUGAUGAAGCAGCUAGCGGACUAGUACAACACGGAAUGCAUACUAUAAACACGUCUAAAGUUUAGUUUUAGUCCAUCCAAAAGAUUUCCUGGUCAAAUCUACUAUGUGAGCAUUUGGUCAUAUAUCUCCUCCUCGAUCUUAUAGAAUACACAUAUGAUGGCAGGAAACUAGAGCUGCUACCUCGAAUAUUCAAUUCUCCACAUGAUGGCAGGAUGCACCAUAUAGGAUGAUGCUUGUUUUCGAAACGCUGAGGGAGUCAAAGCUUGCUAACUUGUCUGUCUGUCCUUGAAAACGUACUGGCUGGUGACCACGACACAACGCAUAAAUUAAUUAUUCCGGGAAUUUCUUUUUAAUUUCAGCCACAGCAGCAAUGCACAGCAACAGGAUGAUUCCAAGGGACCUAAAUAAAACCAAAAGGUGAACAUCAAUCCAUUUGCUGCACACACAAAAGAAGACAAAAGAAAGGCACGAGUGGGUAAAACUGAGGGGAGCAGCCUGCUGAUUGGUCUCAACCACUCAACCAAAAAAAAAAAAGAAUGCUUCUUGCUUGUAAGUUGCUGAUAAAUCCUUUGCAUCUUGAUGCAUGUCGUCUAGUAGCACCUAAUACGAUUGAUUGUACAUGUGGUGCAGGAUGACAAGAUUCAUGCAUGCUCACACAGCAGCUUUUGUAAAAGGCCCAAGAGAAGCUAUUCUGUUUGGUGGUUUCGAUGUUUCUUUCUGUGUUUUUUUUUUGGAUAGAGAGGCCCAAGAGCAGCAGGCCCGAAACAAGCCCGUAGAUCUACCUACACAUCAAGAAGUCCAUUUUGGGGGGUUCUGCUGUGUAUCGCUGGACUUCCUUUAUUAGUUGAGUCGAAAUCAGGUUGGGAUCGGUUCCUUUAACACAAGACAAUAUGUGGUGUAUACAAGUCUAAUCACAGUCACACGCAAAAGGGAAAGAUGCAGUAGUGGACUGAAAACUAGUAGCAAGUGGUCAUGGAUUAACAGUUGGACACUGGUACUGUUAGAGUUGGACCAUGCAGCAUGCUCAUAUUAAUCUUUCCAAGCCUCCUCCACCCAGUCAUUACAAUGUGAGAGGUAAAUGAUGGCCAUCAAGCAUCUUGAUGAUCAGAUGAAGAAAUUUGCUUUCUUUCAGACGCGACAAGAAAGCCACCGGCUAAUUUACAUCUUCUGAUCACGACAGAUAAGAUGUACUCCCAGUGUCCAUAGGGCAAGAGCUUAGUAGGAGCCCGUCAGUGUUUGAUGUAUAUUGUUGCUCCCAUCCCGUCUCACCAACAGGAGGAACUCAAUAAUAUGAACCAGACGGACCAGCAUAGCAUAGAUAAGUCUAAAGAGGGAAUGCAAUGAUUAGUUAGAUCUCUAGUGACAUGGACCCUAGUGUGUAUUUCCAUCUUUGGCUUCAAGAUAAGAAUUGACGGUAACCCCUCAAUUCUGAAACUGAAAAUGGGAAACCUCUUCUGAACAUUGUGUUUAGUUCCUGAUGGCUAUACUUGAGCAAUGCAAUGCAACCAUGAGCGCCUGAGCAGCAUUCACCACGUGCUUGAGUUGUAUAAAUACAAGAAGAAUUAAGCGCAAAAGAAAAAGGAAAGGACACGAUCACAACCUUUUGCCAAAGCAAGAGAUCAUAAAUAUCAGACGGUUGAAGAUUCAAUUAACAGCAAACUUCUUUGUUUUCCACAUUCCAACAAUCAAUACUCAUCCAAGUAACUGUACAAUGACUCGUCGUUCCUCCACCGGCGCCUUGUGAGCAACGAUUUGAGGAAACCCCUGCCUUUGCUUGAGCUUUUCUCCUGCUCCUUGUGGUGGUCCCAGUCGGUAUGUAACUGCAUUGAAGUUUGUCUCUGCACAGAAUGUCACAUUACCAAAAAAAAUGCUUUCUGUGAUCAAACACAACGGAAAUCCAAUGAUAUUAUUCUAGUAAUCUACCAGUAGUAUUGUCCCAAACUGACAUGAAUAAGUCAGAGCUGUGCUCAGGACAUACCAAAUGCUUUGAGUUCGCAGGUGGUCUUCUUGCGACCGUAGAGGACCGUGCCAGAGGAUUAGAAUUUGGUAUUGGCGAGCCUGCUCUUGUAUCUGCAUAGUAAAUGUGAUAAUUGCCCAUUAACCUCCUUAUGCAAGCUCCACAUUCAAAGAUACGCUGAAUCAGACAUAGGACAAUAUACCUUUUGUAUUUGAGUUCAUGAUUCGAGGAGAUGGAGAUUUAGCCCGUGUUUUUCGAGAAGGUGACAAGGACCGGGAUCGGUGAUAUGCGUCGUUAGGUGUAGGAGAUGGUGAACGAGCACGCCUGCAGCAGAACAUGCAUUAUUUAAAAAAAAAAAGGGCUGCAGUGUAUCUUUAUGGAUACUGAACAGUGAACAGUGACUUUGACCCAAAAAAUUAAAGGAAAAAGUCCAAAUUACUACCUUCAAGUAUAGCGAAAGUCCAUAUAACCCCCUAAACUAUGUUUUGGUUCAAUUUACCCCCUAAAUUAUGCUAUUUGGUUCAACUUACCCCAUAAUGCGAUUUGUCAUUUUUGUUUUUUCAUACACAAGUUGAAUUUUAAUUUGAGACUUUGCAAGGUGACAGCGGACAUCAUAAUCUAUAUUAAAAAAUAUUUUAUGAAUUUUCCAUCAUUAGUUUUUAUAUAAUUUGUAUCUCAACGAUAAAUUUUAUCAUUAAAUAUUCUACCCUAUCAAAAUAGUGAUGAAAAAUUUAUGAUAUAUUUUUUUAACAUAUCUUAUGUUGUCUGCUAUCAUCUUGCAAAAUUUGAACUUAAAAUUUCACUUGUGCAUGGAGAAACAAAAAAGACAAAUUAUGUUAAGGGGUAAAUUGAACCAAAUGGUAUAGUUUUGGGGGUGAACUGAACCGAGAAAUACUUUAGGGGGUCAUCCAGACUUUAUUUAUACUUGAGGGGAGUAAUUUGGACUUUUCCAAAAUUAAACAUGCAACGGAGGGAUCUGAGAGUUCCUAUUUGUUUACCUCAUUGUAGUCUGCCGACAACCGGGAGUAGAAAUAGCUGGAACAAGCAGUUGAAAAUUAACAACACAGUAACAAUUUCAAAGAUUUACAGAUCAGAAGUUCAAUGAACUUACAAGAUUGAGACUUGUGCAUUUUGCGACUUGCAUAUUGUCUGUUAUAUCGUGGAGGUUCCGAAACUGGAUGAAUGGAAGAUUCCAGUAGAUCCACGCCUAUAAAACAUAGCUACAAUAAUCUAUACAUCCAAAGAAGAUUGUUGUUUAAUGCAGUAGUAAUAGAAUGGAGCGUGAAAUUGCCUGGUAAUAUGUAACGCCUGUGGUACUUUGGCGCCUUGAUGAGAAGAGCUUGUUGAGAUCUUCCUUCCUGGUCAAUUGUCUGUUGGCAAAUUCGUACCCUCUGCAAUCAUGAGAAACAGCAAUGGCCUGAAGGCUACAGAUAGACAAAUGUAACAGUCUGAUAUAGCAGCAAACUUGCAAAACAUAGUAAACAAAAUAUUACUAAAAGAAAUUUUCUACAGUAGGCAUUAUACCUGUUCAACUGAAGAUACUAGAAAUUCUGUUUCGUUAACCUCAUCAGCCUUUUCACUGACAAGAUUAUCCACCUUGUAUGAGACAAAACCCAGAUGGUCCACUGUGCUAACAAGGGCCUCAACUGUGUAAUCUUUCAAACUCGUCAUCACCCUACAGAAGAAGAUUAGUGCGAACAGUACAAGAUGAGAUGUGUUACAUGUUUAUUGAAGCAACAGGAGACUAGACAAACAAGGAAACAAAGAUCCAGAAAAAGAUCAUACGUAGAUUUGUGCGAGUUGUUUCGGUAAAAUACUUCAAAAUAUUCUGCCGCUGAGUAUAGUUGUGACCGCAGAUUCCUCAGGUCCUACAAAUAAAGCAUAAUUUAUUUCACUGAAGCAGAGAAAGCAUAGAAGAUAGUAAUAAGAAAUGCCAGAUCAGCACAUAGUGAGGACACAUUAAUAAUUAACUAAGACAUAGCCAUGUGGGGUUUCGUUGUGGACAAGGAUCCUAAUUUCUUUAACCCAAGCAGAGACAAAUUUGACAAUAGAUGGCAGCAGCACGUUAAGCAUUGGCAUUAACAGAGCAAUAAAAUUGGUAACGCUCAAUUGAACAACAGGUUUAAACUUUAAAUGAGCAGACAGCCCUUGCAUAUAUGGGCAAAGCAAAGCAGUACAAAGCAAACAGAUUGGAUGCUGCUUUCUUAGCAAGAGCCUCUGUGCUGGGUCAGCGCCACAGUGCCGUUUAUGCAGACAAGUGCAUUUUGAAAAUCCAAAUGGGAUGGUGCUUUUGCUUAAUAAGGGGAAAGUAGGGGGAGGAAAGGUGCGGCCAUUAUAGAGCUGCAAAGGCAGUGACUAUACAUGGUUCCCUCACUUUUUGUUGGAAGGAAGGAAGUAAGGAUAUUUCAAGGUUAGAGAUCGGUAAAUGGUUGAUUGAGGUAGAAAUGUGCGAGUAAAUACUACUACUCCAGUAAGUAUUCAAGAUCACUAUUACUGUAACAGGUAUGGGCAUGGACUAGACAUCCUACUCCUACAGUGUGUAAUAGUAGACCUAAGCUAACUAGGGACAAAAUCUUGUGAUUGACAAUAUUGACAUGGACAGGAAAGCGCACAGCAAAAUGUUACACGGCAUCGCAUUUUGUUUUGCGGGAACGCAGGCAGAAAUCAAGGAAUGAGGCCCUUGGACAAAAACAUUGCCUAGAUAGAUCCAUAGGAACAAGAAGGGAGAAGUUUUGCGCAGAUGGGAAGAGCAUAGCGCAUACCUUGAGGGUGUCUGAGAAGAGGAGGCCUUCCUGCAAGGACAUGUCGUCGGUGAUGGAGGCGGCGUCAUAGAUGUGGGAGGAGACGGAUGACGGCGACAUUGCGACCGCCUCCAUGGGCGAAGCGGCGCCUCCCUCCCCUGUUGCCAAGACUCCUCCUCCUCCCAAGGGCACCAAAACCCCUCCCCUUGUUGGGCAACCAAAACCCCCAAGAAAGCAGGGAGCUUUUUGAAGCUCCAAUCGAAUCCGCUCCUCCAGUGGACGGCGGUGGUGGUGGGGUGGCUCACCUAUAAUAUGGGGGGGCAACACAAACGCUAACAGGGAGGGAGGGGGCUGAACAACCACCUCUACUCUCUCUACUUGCGCUGUUGGUGUCGCCAAGAUCUGGUUUGGGUCCCGGAGGCUUGGAAGCUUGCAGGUUCGCUAGCGAUUGGUGGAGCAAGGAUGGGCCAUGGCCGGGGACGGAAUGCGACGGGCGUGGGGAAGAAGAGGAUAAGAGGCGGAGGGACAGGACAGGAUUAAAAGGGGCAAUUUGUUGCCUGCUAAUUUCUCUUUGUGUUUGUGCGGAAGGGGAGGGGAGCAGACGGGAGCAGCGAGUUGGAGCAUUCAUUCACCGUUGGACUGCUGCCUGCAAUGAAGGCCAACCGGACGGCAGGGGUCACGUGAGACGCAUAUUGUUGGUGGCACAAAGAAGGAAGCUUUUCUUUGACAACGGUCGGUCGGUGGUGGUUGUGUGCCACACCAUCUGCAUGCUCAGCUGGGCCGUCCGUCCCACCGGCCCUGCCUGGUUUGGUAUCUCGUCGGGACGGGCCGCCGGAGCCAACAGACCAACCCUAACAGAAAGCCCAAUCCUGCCUCUUCUGCCGGCGAGUCCUUUCUCUCGUCUGUCUUGUCUUCUCUUCUCUUCUCUUCGGCAGCCGGCCGACCGGGUAUGGUAUGAAAUCACCGCACUGGUUGCUAUUGGUGAGUAGUAAAUUUUUUUGUUUACCAACCGAUGAGCAAUUCUGGUCUGGUGGAUGUGAAUUUGAACUCAACUUGAGGUCAUCAGGCCUUCAGCACAGCACGCACUCAACUCCAUCAUGUCUCAGAUUUCGCCCUGAAUUCCCAGCUACAGGCAACUAGCCCUCAGCCAUACCAUACCAACAGGUAAAGGCGCAAACGGUUGCUAUAUAAUAUUGACGUUUAGGACAAACUAGUUAGUUCAAAAACACUGCAACACAAGAAUGCAGACUCGUUAACAUAAUGCAGACCACAUCCAAUGCAAUUCUCAUCACGAGAAUUCAGAACACUGCAACACAGUACACAUGAGUCAAGCCAUGGCACCUAAUCCCAUAUCAUAAUAUCACCCUCCCAUAUAUGAUAUACCUACUGAUAUUUACAAAACUUACAUUCUCAUAGGUCUGUCUUAUACAUCCAUCUUCAUUAUUCCUUAACCCCGGUAGGGCUUUCACUAAGCCUUUUUAGGCAGACUACUAGACACACAUUAAUUGACUGUCAUCUUCUUUAAACCAAACUAAAGACACAUUAUCAAACCUUUUUUUCCCUUCAUUUCUGCAAACCUAUGUUACAUCAAUUCUUCCUCAAAAUGCAUGAGAAGAAAGAACUGACGCCAGCAACCAAUCUGUUGCGUCAUCAAGACAAGCUAGCCAUCACGUUUCAAUGUUUCAGCUACAACCAUCUUCCGCCCCCAGCAAAACGACGAUGCUUCAUCAUCAAUAGUGAAAGGCUCCAAAUAAAAGUCCACCUUCCAUCCCUGCCCUCCCUUCUAAAAAUCGGUCUUCACAUCCUGCUCCAAGAAAGGAUCCAUAUCGCUCUCAUCUUCAAUGGGAUGGAUCACAAUCUUCCUCACCGUCUGGCAAAACUUACUGCACAAGUUAUAUAAUGUGUAUGUCAGCCACAACCCAUUAAGCUCCUGUCUAAUUACCUUUGGGGGGGGGGGGGGGGGGGUGCACAAGGUAGCUUACAGCCAAGGAACAUCGCCGACUUGCAUCGUGUCACCCUCAUCAUUCGUGAAAGCCACCUUCCAUUUCUCUUUGGAGCUCAGAUCUUUUAUCUCGAACAUCUCAUCAAGCUCGCUGAUCAACUGCGGAUACCCAUGCAGGUUCACUAAAUCUAUAGCUCUUCCCACAGCAUUUCCUUGCAUUUGAACCUAACACAGGUCAAAUAUGAACUUCAGUUACAGUACAGCUUAAAAAAGUAUAAUCAGCAGCUCUCCUGCUUGGUUCGUUUCAAAAAAACUACAGCUUAAAAAAGCAAUACAAGGAGAAAGAAAAGAGAAAAACAAAACUUGUACCUUAAUUCGAGUUCUUCCAGUGCAAUUCUGAUGGCUUUGGAUUUCUCGGGGGCUUUCGUUCACAUUCUGUGUAUGAUCUUUAGUGACUUUAGAGAGUGCUGAUAACUGACCAGAGUCUUCCAAAGAACCAGCAGUUCGGGUCGAUAUCUCCCUAACUCCUACAGUCAUCUUUUCACUAGUAGCAGCGUUCCUUGUAUGGUUAAUCAAAUUGACACCAAACAGACGAAACAUGCCGGGUUCCUUCUUUUCUUCAACAGCAUUGGAAAAAUUUAGAGCAACCUCCUCGGUCUGGUAGCUGCACAGAGCAGUGUUGGAAGACAACUUGGAAGAGGGUUCCUCAGCUUGAUAAGCAGAAAGCCCAGGCCAAGGAGGAACCCUCGCGUCAUUACUGGUAACCUGAAACAGCUUCUGAGAAAUCUCUGACAAGGAAGGGGAGGCCCCCUUGCUUGAGGAGUUGAAGUCCUUGAACCAAUUCCCUAGUACUACAGAAUUCUGACAAACUGAACUACUCAUGGCACUGUAUCCUGCACGUUCACUUGUCCAAACGACUUGAUGUCCAGAGAUACAAUUGGGUUCACUGGAGCCAAUACCUGCCUUCUCAUGCUGUUCAGGCAUUCCAGAGAGCCAAAAUUCUUGAGUAGGUUCUGCAAAAUUAUGAACAUCAGGCCCAAAUUUCCGGUUACUUCUUUUAAGACAAGUAAUGUGGAAUUUUCAAUGCCAUACCCAUUGCCUGAAUAUCCAGGCUUUCAGCUGUCUCCCUGGGCCUUUUGUUUUUUGUUGAUUGUUGCACAGGUAUGUUUAUGGUAGGUGUAGAGGCAUCGAAUGGCUCGAUUUCCCAUGAGGAAACCCUCUCAGGGCCAUUCAAAUUUGUGGCUUCAUCCCAUUGGACCUAAUAAACCAAGAAAAUUUAGAAGUUCUCAUCACCUUCUCUAAGAAAAAAAAAGGCAGGUAUAUUUUUUCGGUAAAUGGGAAGGCAGAUGAUAAGAACAAAAAGUAUAUCGAACAGAUCUUACCUUCAAUGUUUUCCAUUCAGAACCUUGCCAUUGUGGAGAAAGAUCUCCUUUAUCAACUACAGUUCCAGAAAACCUGCAGGGUUAAAAGAGAUGGAUUGAUCAUGUCAGCUUGAGAGGACAACAAGUCAGCAACACAUGAGGAAGAGGAAUAAACUGAAAUAGAAACAUAUGAGAUGACAGGAUGAAUCGUUACUUCUUCACAGGGACGUCUUCCCCUUCAAAACUCAUCUUAAACCUCAUGCCCACAUUAAACCCGAUUUUACUAGCUUCAAGGUACUUGUUCAGACUGACGAUGUAUUGGCUUUGGCUUAACCUAAGAAAAUAAACAAGAAUGACUAUUAGCAGAGAACAAGCACUACUGCAUGGAAAAAAAAAUGGUGGCAGAAAAGGUCCAACCUUGGCCUAUAAUACACUAGGAAAAUGGAAUUAGUCUUAAUAGCAUGUGAUGCGCUUGCAAGCACCCCAAGAUGCAUGCUUUGGCUCGAUAUAACAGAUGCUGGCAUUGUGCUCUGCUUCUGCACAAGGCGUCUCACUCCGACGCGCUGCUGUCCCGUCUCACUCCUAAAAAAACAAAGGCAUAGUCUCUUGUAAGUUGUACAUAUACUUGAUAUGAACAUGUGCACAAGUUUCUCUUUUCAGAACUGAAUCAUCCGCACAAGCUGUUCGUUCAGUUGAGAUCUAACCUCAGGUAGACGAACGCAUCACCCGCAAUCAGCUUCUUUGAUGUGACAAAAGUACUCCAUCCAGUAGUCAGAAGGUGCCGACGGGGUUGGCCUAGAGAAGCAAGAAUUGCAGAAUUGAGCAACAGAAAUUGCAUAAAGGUACAAACUUUACCCUGAUCUGUGACCCAAUUAAGCACCAGAGGGUAAUUUGGCCAAAUUAUUUAUAAGACAAUUCAGUGGAGACUGUGCAUACCCCUGUAGAUGUGCUUGAACCUCCAUUCAGAUCCAUGUAGGUCCUUCGUGAUGAGCUCUUGGGUCGGGGUCGGCAUCGACAUAUCCUGUUUAACAACAACCAAUUGUGAAUUUUCAGCUGCCGUACCAUGCGCUGUACUGAAGACAUGCGAAUUGUGCGUACCAGUGGCGGGAGGCAUUCGUUUGCGUGGCGUCGGAGAACAGAGAAACCGCCAUGGGUGCUGGUGUCGGAUGGUGUGAGAAUCUUGCAGAAGGAGUGCACCACUGGCCUCGGCGUCUCCGGCAGGGGAGGGUCAGGUAAUGUGGGCAGAUUCACCUGCUGCAAAAGCCAGACUUUUUUCAGACAAAUCCAUAUGGUCCAGUGUCCCAAAAUGAGUGCAUUGAAUUGCUUUGCCUACAAAAUCAUGAAACUUAUAUAUAUAUAUAUAUUACUUUUGUAGACAGAGGAGGAACUCAAAAUUCAGGGAAUUCAAACGAGGAAGAUGUGCAGAAUUCAGGGAAUCGAGGACAUGCUGCAAGGCCAAGGGAGAGAGCACUGUGUGUUUGAAUUGACUCACAUCCGGGUCGGGCUGCAGAGUGAUCUGGGCGAACAUCUCGUCCGUUUCCGUCUCGGCCUGCACAGCACAGCCCAAAAGAGAAUUUUAUUAGCAAAAAAGGCAGAAUUGAAGGGCGGCGGAACGAAGAGGCAUGAAUGAACUGAAUUGAAAUACUGAAUUACCUUGAGCUCGACGUUGACGACCUUGCAGAGGAUCUUGUUGGGCACCUGGAACAUCUUGAUCUGCUCGGCCAGCAGCGCCGGGUCGGUGGGCUCCUGCAGCUGCUCCAGGUGGCCCUGCAGGAAGUAGAAGACCCUCUCGUCUGUCUGGGGCAGCUCCACCAGCGGCCCCGCGCAGGCGCGCCACAGCUCCGCGAACAGCUCCGGCUCCCGCCCUUGCGCCAUGGCCUCUGCUUCUCUCGCAGUCCCCGGGAGGAGGGGGAGAGGGAGGGGACAAGCGAGGAAGAGAAGAAGCAGCAGUGUGGUCACCGCACCGGUGGUGGCUGUGCGUGUUUGUUAGGCUCGCCCCAUUAAAGAAAGGCGCGGUGGGGCUUGUUGAGGCAAGGGCGCAAGGCCUUGUCCUCCCUUGUGGCCUUGCGGGAGAGGAGGAGAGAUUGGGAGGCGAAGGAGGAGGGAGGAACGAGGAAGUGGGCGCGGCGGAAGCUCAACGGCGGCGUUACACAAUACCCAGUGAUGAAGUGCGCUUUAUGGCUUUAUUAACAUUUAACGCCCCUCCCCCCGCCUUUCUCGUUUCUCAACUCUCUCCAGCUCCUAAAUUUGCAUGCAGGCGCCUAUACUAUCUGCAAAUUUGUUAGGGCCUUCCUAUACUACUAGUAGCCAUGUACAGUAUGCGUAUAAGAUUCUCCAUUCAAAACCAAGCGGCUCAAUCCUCCUACACAAAUUCUAUUAGCAAGAAUAAAAAAAGCACAAAUGGCAAAAAGCUUAGGUCUAGAGAUUUAUAUUUUUAUUAAAAAAAAUCUCCUUAUGCAAUAAUUUCAUCCUCAUUGAACUUGUAUGAAAAUCAAAUUAAUCGUGAAUAGAGGAUUCAGGGGGUCAUAUAUAUUUACUCUAUCUUUCUUUCCAAAUCAUGUUACAUUUGAAAAUAACAAACUUUCUUCUUUGUGGCAUAAAUUACAGAAAAUGAUAUCCAUCUCAUCUUGUAUUGAAAUUUUGAAACAAAAACACAGAUUUCUUUUUUCCUUUUUAUUGACAUUAACCAAAAAAACUAAAAUGUUCUUGUGAUUUUGAAUGCCUCUCUAGUUUCCACCCACCCAAAGCAUCUGUGACUUUAAAAUUCUAUAUGGAUAAGGAAUAGUGACCCUUGACUCUUAUCAACAAAAGUGUAUGGUUUAAAUCCAAUUUCAAAGAAAAAUUUUUACUCCCAACCCCUGGAUUGCAUCAUGAGACACUACUCACUAAGAUAAAAUCCAGAGACAGAAAGAGGAUAACAGAAUAAUAUCACAACUGUGUCAAAUGUAAAGGUUGAGAUUAAGCAUUACAUAAUCUCCUAGACAUUUUUCUUAAAGGGGUAUAGAUUUUCCAAACCUUAUUUCCGAGUGGCCAUGUGGAUAAAGUGAACAUUGUAUAUAUGCAAAAGCAUUGUUAACGUAUACGAGGUCGGACAUACGUUUUCAUCGUCCUAAACAUUCUUACGUAGGCGACACUGGUUACUUGCAACCGUUGUUAUAUAUACCAACAACUUAACUUACCAUGAAAGCGGUGUGUUCUUCGUUAAAAGUUCAAACGUGAACACAUGGGUUGUGUCCACGUGAGAUUGCCGUAAUUUUAGGCCCUAGCUGACGGCCUGCUACGCCAAAAACGAGAAAAACACCCUUUUUUAAAAAUUUGGUUUGUUUUUCUUGGAACAUCUUUACAAUGAUGAAUUGCAUGUUCAUGUAGCUAGCUAUAGUUAGUAUUACGUUUGCACCGCUGUGGACUGUGAUGUUUGGUUCCGGCCCGUUGGAGAGUAUUAGAUGGAUCUGCGCGCAGUGGGAGAGGCACACGUGGCUCCUGUGGUGUGGGGGGGCGGAAUGGGGCCAUGCAUGCAUUAUUGUUAUUGCAUUGCAUUACAUACAUGUAGCUAGUGUAGAUGGGAUCCGCGCGCGCACAGUAGGUGAGUUAGAGCAGUCAAAUGCAUGCGUACGAGACGAGAUGAUGAGCACAGAGACUCUCCGGUCCUGCUACCUGCUGAUCAAGAGCUGCAGGAGCUUGGCUCGAUCCCUGGCCGUCCGGCCGGCCAACCUUAACGCUGGCGCGCACGUGCGGUGCAGCAUGCAUCAUGUCGGCCGGCAUGGUUGACGACGACCUUGCUGAGCAAUCGAUCGAUCAUCGUCUCGCCAUGGCGAUGGAGAGAUUUGCUUUGCAGCUGCAGAGCUAGCCCCUGUGCCGUCGUCAUGCUCUCAUAUGCAUGGGCCCUCGCCCGUGCGCGUGGUCGGGUUGGUGGUUGAGGACGCACCACCCAGCAGAGCUAUACACAUUUCCGGACUCCAGUAGUCAAAGCACGCAGCAACGGCAGCUCCGAUUCUGAUGACGAUAUAUAUACAUGUGUACUGUUGCCGCAUGUGCGCUGUGCCCUCCACUCCUCCGGCACACCACACACAGCCAACAUCAUUUAUUUUCUAGCUCCUCGCUCUACCCACUGUCAGACAGUCGAUCCUACAUAUUGUGAAUUGCUAAUAUGUAAAAUUGGAGCGAUGAGAUAAAUUGAUUAGCAGUAAUGCAGCACAUCCCAAUAAUCUUUGCCUUCCUUUUUUCAUUAAGCUAUAUAUGACCCUCCAACAAGAGGCCCAAUCUUGAAAUGCCUUGCUAAUUUGCAUUCUUCUGGAAGCAACAGAUAGUCAUACAGUAUAUGCGCAGCCCUUUUUCACGCGUUCCAGCAUGCAUGUAUGAGGUUGCUGUCCCAUACACUUUCUACAACAUUUACAUAUAUAGGCUCCCCUCUACAUUUGCCCCAGCACCUAGCCACCUACAUCGAUCGAUCUACCAUAGCCUCUAAUCAACUUGACCAAUGGUGGUCAUGUGUGGCUACAAUGACCACUAAUCAUCGAUGAUGGCCAAAAUCUAUCGCCCCCUACGCACGCACGCACGCGCACAAGCUUAGCUUCUCUUUCCACCACAGCUAUUCCUCCUCACACUGUCCAUGUAACUUAACACAUCAACAACUUCUUUCAAGGACUGUAUGUAACUACUCAUCUGGACAAGUACUUGUCCAAAUGCAUAGUUGCCAAUACCUUAUAUUUUACGACGGAAAUACUCCAUCCGUUCCAAAUUGUUGGUCAUUUUGACUUUUCCAGGUGCAUAGAUAUUAUUAUGCAUCUAGAUAUAGUAUAUGUCUACAUGCAUAAUAAUAUUUAUGAACCUACAAAAGUCAAAACGAAACGGAGGGGUACUAUCUAACUAGUCUAUCAUUAAUCCCACUGUCAUUAUUACCAUUUUUUUCUCCAUGGACGAAUCACGUACGCGUAUAUUUCCAUGGGAGUCUUACUUAAAAUAUCAAUGUAGGCCGAACCUCUUUCGGUUAUUUUAUUCAUAGGACCAAAAGUAGAGUAUAUCUUAGCUCUCAGACAUGACAUGGCACCAAAACUACAGUAGCCCUAAGGCCAUAGUAGCACAACCGAGGCUCAAUAGCAUGUCCCUUAAGAGAGAAAAAAAAAAGCCAAACUGCGCGGGUGAAUUUGCAAAAUACGCCCACUUUUGGCCUAGGAAACGCACUUGCCGUUUUUUCCCUUUUGAGAGCGUGAAAAGCGUAACCAUGCAUUUCAGUUACUUGAUCGCAUCCAUAGGUCAGUUGAACGACGGCUACAAAGUCUUGGAAAUCAGCUCCCCUUUUUGCUGGAAUCGAGUUAUCAUUUUCUGGAAAAGGAGUGGCCGCAUGUACAAACACCUACGCAAGUACUGUACUAUAUCUCUCAUCUCUUCCUCACGCCAUUUUGGUGCUGCGUGCCUGCACACUCCACCACCAUGCAUACAUGCAACCCUUGUGAUGACAAAGAAAAAACUCUUUUAUUUAUUUUUAUACAUGAAUGAAUUUUAGAAUUUCACUGUCCCGAACAAUUAAUACACGCUUAUUUUCCAUUAUACAUGUGCUUUGCUUCGAUGUUUAAAUCAUCAAUAAUAUUUCUCUGCUGCUACGUACCAAGCAACUACUUAUACUCUAAGAUGGAAUUUAGCUUUUGAGAAAGCGUGUUAGCACUAAAUCAAUACUAUAAUAAACAAUGCGAUCUUGUGAUCGUCGAUGGGCAUAUAGAAGUUAAAGCUAGUUUUCUUCAGCAAAGAUUCCCAGCAAACCGAACUGCAGGAAUCUGGAAUCUCCGUUCGGCAGGCACACCUUUAUCUGCUACUCUCACCGUCUGAAAAGAACACGGCAAAAUGAGUCAUCAUCACUACCAGUUGCAUGCAGUUCCUUCGCAUUGCCACAUAAUAAUUAUUGCCCAGUUACGAUUCUGUAAUAAGAUAGAAUUCACUUUUGGGUUUUCCGAGUUUAAUUGCUCACACGUACGCACAGGAUCAAAAUCCGAUCAACAUCCCGAUCGUAAUCUCAAUAUUGCAAUGAUAGCUGUCAUCUAUAUAACAACAAGAACACAAUCAUCCGUAGCCUCCUCGUACUUUAGUCAAUUAAUUAAAUUCUGACCUUUUUCUACUUGCGAUAUCUUGCUUUUUUUUAUGUUGUAUAAUCAGUCGUCGGGUGGGGAAUAUUCGUAGCGAUUAAGAGUCCUUGCAUUGCAUCCAUCCAUGGUUUGCAAGCCUGUAAAAGUGCCCUGCCUACGAAAUAGAAGGUGUUUAAUUACUUGUUUAAUGUUUUGGAAUCAAUCAUAUUAGUUAGCCUUUUGAUUUGCAUGGGUUAGUGUUAGAGCUGUAGUGCUAGGGUUGUGCAUGCUAACUUUACUUAGCUUACUUCUUUAAUUUUUUUUAACAACCGCACAAGAUAGUUCCUAUUGAUAUAGCAGAAAAAUACAAGACUACGGCCCUGGGAGCCCAUAGGCAGGAAAAGAAAAGGAAAACAAAAAAUAAUCUAGUCUUGCCUAGUUGGAUUAGGAUGUCAACGCGCUCAAAACCACCAAAACUCGACCGGUUUGAUUGGGAUAUCAACGCGGCCGCACCACUCCACUCAACAACGAUAGCAGAACCGAAGCCAGACCGCGGCACCCACCAACAUUCUCACGCUCAUUUAGUCGCCGAAACCUUCAGACGUGACCCUGCGUCGAUAGGGAAUUGAGAGAAGCAGACCCUUCUUCUUUAAUUAACCCUUGCCAUCUCUCUCCCUAUCUACAUGCAUGGCUAUAGCUAUAGGAGUCUAGGGUGUGGGGUAUAUAUGGAUGAUCGAUUUGUUUGUGCCGUUGGCUGCAAAUAAAGUGCGAAGUUUAAAAUAUGUUACCGGGCGCACGCCUCCAUGUGGGAGCCAUAAACGUAACAACCUAGCCGAUGCUGACUGGCUAGCUUCAACCGCACAACACACGAUUACGAUUCAUUGCCCAUUCUACAAUUUUUUACUAUGUUAAUUAUGCUCCCUAUUUAUUAGCUCGUUCGAUCACGCAAAAUCUAAAGCUCAUCAUCAGUGAUGUUACUGUUUGCUGUGCCAUGUGAUUCCUUUUUUUCCCAUCUGAUUGAAGUGAUUUUAUAACCCAUUUGAUUAGCAGUGUACUUUAGGAAACUGAUGAUCCUGUUAUUUUGAUCAGAGUUGUCUGUGCUGAGGUUAUUAUCUAGAGGCAUCGACUUGCCCAACUUAGCAGCAUACUAUAUGAAUAUGAUAUACAUGGAAUGAAGAUUUGGUUGGUGAGUGGUCUCUGAAUGAAGAGGACAAUAAGGAAUUAUAAGCUCAUCAGACUGCACGCUUCUAUUUCUAUAUAGUACUCUAAGUUCAUCGUGGAAUAAUGGAAGCUGUGUCCUGCCUGCUUAGCAAAUUCAAUUCAGUUAGGCUCAGACGGCACACGGACAGAGAAAGCGAGAUAGAGAGGCAAUCAUAGGCUAAUUAAUCUCUCUUCUUUGAGGUCUGAUCGCACCAAAAAAAAAAUCCAGUUUGUUGUGUUGCUAACUCAGCUUGCCACCGAUCUGGUGCAAAAUGCGAGUGUUUCUGGCCCAAUGCAAAUGAAAUGAGCUGACAAGAUAGCAUCACGCGUAGUAUGGGUGAUGGGAAGCCCAUCCAUGUCUCACUCGCCUCCAUCCGUCACGAGUGACAAUACACAACGACCUGCUUCCCGUUCAUGGUUACAAGUUCUGCACAUUUAUCCUGCUGCAGCUCCUAAAAUCUUCGCAACCUUAACAGCAGGCGGGACGUUUGGUUCCUUUGCUUAUUUUUAGUACAUAUCACAUCGAAUAUUUAGAUACUAAUUAGGAGUAUGAAACGUAGACUAUUUACAAAACCCAUUACACAGAUGGAGGCUAAACGGCGAGAUGAAUCUAUUAAGUCUAAUUAAUCCAUCGUUAGCAAAUGUUUACUAUAGCAACACAUUGUCAAAUCAUGAACUGAUUAGGCUUAAUAGAUUCGUCUCGUCGUUUAGCCUCCACUUAUGUAAUGGAUUUUGUAAAUAGUCUAUUUUUAAUACUCUUAAUUAGUAUCUAAAUAUUUAAUGUGACAGGUGCUAAAAAUAAGCAAAAGUAACCAAACAGGAUCAUAGUGGAUGAAAUUUACUUCAAGCUCUUAACUGCAAAAUUGGCAUUAUAGGCUACUGAGCCUUUUAAUAUUACCAGCUAGUACUAACUAGGACACCAACACCAUCAAUGCAAGGAAUAUGGAGAUCAGCACUUGUUGAGUUGGAAACCAAACCAAACGGCAGCUUCGGGCCAAGUAACGGUAUCCAACAACCCUACUUGCUUUGGCCUCAAGGGAAGGCAACUCAACUUAACUUAGUGGUCAAUAUAAUCACUACUAGUAUCUUAUUACUCUCAUGCAGCUUCAACUUACACCUGCCCAUUCCAAAACUUGCUAUCUAAAUGCGUGGUCAAAUAUAGAGAUCGUAUUUUGAAAUUUCUCCAACAUUUUUUGCUGAAAAUUCCGUCGCAAGUAGAAUUGUUUGGUUUCCUAGUAUAUUUCAGUAGAAUUUUCGUCACUGACCGACUUACCAUAAACCACAAGAGCCGGAUGUGUUGCUGGAUAUUAUAAAAGUAGGGUUGUCUCUCUGAAGCUGAAAAUUAUGAAACAUUUUUUUGCGGGGAAGACGAGGUUUUGAGCUUGAAGACGACGAAUGCAGGAUUUAUUUCAGCUCUACACUACAAAAGAAAAAAAAAGACAGGUAUUAAACAACAGAGCAAAUGAAAGUGAGCUAACAUUCUUAGGAAGUGUCUGUCCGAUCCGAGAUGCCCAAAGGGAGGGAGGAUCUUUGUCCCUCACAUGGAGAGUAUCACGAGGAAUAUACUAAAAACUGAAGACAUUUGCGUGGAAUUUGCAUCACCAUGAGGUGUGCCUACCCCAAUCAUACGGUAGGCAAACCACGAGACAGAGAGCAGCCAAUUCAAGGUCUACAGGCAGCAGCGCAUUAGGGACUCCUGCUUGGCCGCUAUUGGCUUCCAAAUCUGAAUGGAUGUUUAAAUAUGCUGUUAAUCCGGGCAUUAAGAUUUAAGAAACACGCCCACUUGAGCAUUAGAAACCUCCAUGACAAUAAUGUGGAGAUUAUAUGGGUGUCAUGCUGUUGGAUUUGUCGUUUGCAGGGGGAUUACAUCGCAGGCUUUCCUUUCCUGCCUGCCUUGUAUUUGGCAAUGUCUUGGUCCCCCCCAUGCUUUGUUUAAUCAGAAUGCCUUUUGUUUAUUUAUAGCCACCAUAAUAGUUGUUCAGGUCCAUGUACUAUGCUCAUUAUAUUGACCCAUUUGCAUUACUAAUCCUUAGUAGCCCAGAUGGAUGGAUUGGUUCAUCAGUUACCUGAAACAUCAAUGUAUCAGCAUCUGGGGAACAAAAUUGACCUACUAACUGUGUUCCAUAAGAAGACAAAACCCAGAAAAAAUCAUUUGUAAGAAACAAGGAUCAUUAGCCUCUGAGCUCAUUGUUUACAGGUAGGUGACAUUGCUCUAUCUCACAGUGGCAUAGGACUACCCAAAGUGGUAUAAAAGGAUUUCACUGUCUGCCUGAAUAGAUCAUGGUGAAAAGUAACGUUUCAGUAACAUUCAGCAAGUUAUGUGUCCAAGGAAGCCUAUUCAGAUGAAAGACUAGUUUAGUCAGUUGUUUGGCAUCUAUACAUGAGUUGGAUUGACUUGAAGCCUUGGCAUUUGGCAGGGAAGAUGUCAGUGUUAUCUACUUUUCUAAGCUUUGGGGCCAAGCGUAAUCUAUGCAGGCAGCCUACUGGCUUUCAAAUUACCAGUGAAUAGACAGGCAACAAAAUUAACUAUGGAGCCUAUGCUAUGUGUGAGGAACGGAAAGCUCCUGUAGGAUAGGCAAGCAACGAAUAUGCCAUGCAACUUGUUCUACCUAUUAAUUUUGACCGGAUUUCUUUGCUACGAAAAUCAUGCUCCAUCCACUCUGCACCGCGAUUAAAGACAUCCCCAUCGAUCCGCCGGUGAAUUUUCCAUGAUGCUUCUCCUCUCCUAAUCUGUUGCUAUAUCUUAGGCUGCUGCAUAUCUCAUAUAGUUAUGAUAGCAAAGAUCACAUUCUUGAUUCAAAGCAGCAAGCACUUACUCCCAACUGUCAAUAAACUAGUUAGUAAUCCUGCUCGACAGAAUAACAUGGCGAGUGUUCAUACUAUCGAUUGACCGAUUCUCGCAUCCAAUGAGCUCUGAUGUGUGAUCGAUUCUUCCUUCUUAGGUGAUGUGUUGUACUCCUACAUGUGAGCAUUAAGCAAAGUGUUGUGCAUGGUACAAGAGAGAUAAUUAUAUAUAUGAGCUAGAGGCUAGUGGAGGGGACUUGAAAGUGCAUGUAAAGAGGGCCGGGAAAGCAAAGCAUGAAGGAGCAAGCUUGGGUUAGGCUCUAAUCUAUGGAGAUGGAGGGCAGCAGGCAUUUGCAUCUCUGACCACUAAAGGAUGGCUUCAGGCCUUUGAUGUGGAUCCACUUGUCGACGCGCGGUGGGAUCGUUCAUCAUAUAUAUUUCAUUGCAGAAUGGCAUUUUUGCGCGCCAGAAUAAAGCGAAAGACGCCUUUUCCCUGCGCCUUCAGCUCUGUUUCUGCUAAUAUAUUUUAUGUUUGAUUGAUUCCUCCUAAUGCUUGUGGGUUUUAUUUUUCAGCUCAAGUUUAUCGUCAGUAGACCCCUCAGGCCUGAGCAGUGGAUGCUGAUAAGCAUGGACAUGGAGAGGGAAGAGCCCAUUGGCUGCAACUGCGACGCAAAACGAUUCUAAAUGGCCAUCUUUUAUGUUAAACUGCCAAGAACCUUCUGAAUGUUGGAACCAGCAGUGUCUGCACAUAGACACAAUGUACUUGGUCCCCAACUCCUAACCUAUCUGCACCCUAGGGGCUUAUGAAAUGCUUCAUUCAACUGGGGACCGUUACAAGCAAUGCAACCGACUUCUGUCGACAGCCCUGCCAUCGCAAUGGUGACCGUAACGGGCUAACGGCACAGGAGGAACCAUGCAUCUUGCUGAAUUCAAUUCAAAUAUUUAAAUUCUAUAGAAAUUGAAGGUUCUCUCUAUGAAAUUUAGUAGUAUGUUCCCAGCAUCGCUCUAGUUCCAGUGGCUCACUUGGCCGGUCUUAUCGCCGGCAAAAUGGCACUGUUCCAGCAUGUGGGUGAACACGAGUGCAGAUAGCAAGUAAAGCUUGUAUGAUGGAGGAGGAUAGGAUCUGGAUCGAAGCCUGGAAUUGAAAUGGGCCAGCAGCAUGUGCAUUCAAUCUAGCGUAGCGUUAGGUGAGACAACUGACCUGAUCUUGACAAAACCAAUUCUUAUAAAUUUCUCUGAAUUUGACUUGAUUUGAUCGAUGCGGCCGCUCACUCUCCUCGUCAAGAGGGCUGGCACGACUUCUUUUUCGCACCGUGCCGUGUCAAGCCUGUUUUGGACGUCUGAAAUGACCUCCAAAUUGACCAGGUGUAAAGCAAGCACUAGCUUUCAAUGUCUGCAGUUCUGGCAAGGAUAACUGAUAUAUCCAUGCAUGCCCUGCCAUCAGACUCUGGCAGAUUUAAAAUGCAGACGCAAAUAAAAUGGUUGAACCGAUAAGGAUACCGUCAGGUGAUUCAUGGGCAGGUUUGCUCUUCAAGACUCACUUCCAUGUCACAAGAUGGAACUCGCAACUCAGGAGAACAAGAUGACUGAGCUGAUGCAGACUUUCAGUUCGAUGGCGCUCUUUGAGUACUGCAUCACAGAAGGCACAAAAAGGCACUGAGAAAGAGAAAGUAUGAGUACAGACAGACAGUUUUUUAUUCUGAAAGAAACCUACAGAGUUUCAGCAUAUGCAUACGGCCUUCAUUACACAGUUCUUGAAAAUAAGCAUCCCAGAAGACUGCCACAAAGUUCCCAGGUGAUGAUGAAAGCAAUUAAACAUGACCAUAACGCUUGCAGCGAUGGAGAAUAGAGACAAAGAACAGCAAGUCUGGCAAAGGUUAUGACAGUAAAAGAUUCACAUGUACCAGAGUCUGCCCUGGUCAAAAUGCAGGGGAAACAGGACCAAUGGGGCAAAAUCUCAACAUUUGCUUCGUAUAUAAAAUUGAACCAAAAAAAUGCACUACAGGGUUUACAGAUCACCUUAACCAAACCAACAAAUUCAAACAUAUCAAGUCUAGCAAGACUGUUGGCCUUCACUUUUAAACAUGAUUCAUACAAUAAGGACGCAACAACAUGCGGGGGGCCGAAGUGCCUUUCCAUGCAAAUAUUGGCAGCUUGCAACCACGCUAUGGUAUCACCCACUUUAACAUCGGAGAAACAACUGCACUCCAGAUUUCUUGCUUAAAAUUAGAGCUGCAGCCUACAGCAAGAAAAAAGGAACAAAGAUCAGAAAAUUCAGUAUAUUAGUUCGAAAUUUCAGCUUUACACAGUGUCCUUUCUUGCAGAACUUAGAUGUCCUAUUCUGAACUGUUCAAGACCCUUCAUAACGAUAUUGUCAAAUGAGGAAUUGAUUAUCUCCGCAAAAGUCAAGAAUGAUGGCAUCAGUAAUGAGGUGGUUUAAUAUAGUUUAAUCGCAGAAGUGGUAACUCUGGUGUAUUUCCAAUUUUCCUAGAUGGAAGACUCAAUGACAUGGAACUAAAGACCAUAAUGCUGUAACACAAGGGAAUACAUCAAUAAAAACAAGGAGCUAUGCAGCGGAGGGGUCAAAAUUUUGAAUCCAGAAAAGCAUUAGUAUGAAAGACUACAGACAAAUGUGGAACUUGGAGGUAAACGAUCUAAGACCAAAACAAAAAAAAAGGAUCAAUGCAAUUACAAACUGUUCUUUGUGCAACAGCCUCGAUAACAAGUACAGACUCCUUAUCAACAAUCAGAUAUAACGAACCUGAUUUGAACAUCUGGUCUAUUAGUUUAUGAUGUUUAUUACAUACCAGUUUAUAUAAGAGAAAUAACAUCUCUCAGUUUUCAUUUAUGUCAUUUAGUUGGUUGAUAGUCUCAAAUUCCGUAUCACAUUCUUUACUCUUUAGUGAACGUGCAUAUAUAGACAUGAUGCAGCCAUGCCAUCAACCAGAUCCAGGGGAGAUAGGCUCAACUUGCCAUGCCACCAUACACGUUGGCAAAACUGGAAACUCUAAUUAGAGUAGUGAAGCCAGUGAACCCAACAAAUAAGCUACAGCUUUGCCUUUUCUUUUAAGUAUCAUACCUCCCAACUCUAAAUUGCCACAAUGAAAAGAAAAGGUUACCCAUCUUUACUUGACCAUAUCAUACAUGCGAUGCAUGGACCAGGAAAAAGUACAUAUUUAGCAGGGAAAAAAGCAUCACUUCAUAUGUGUAUGAUUUUCCCAGAAACUGUUUUUAUGAGUAAUCUGCAAUCUUUUUAAUCAAUUCAUAAUAUCCAAAAAUGAAUCUACAAGUGAUAAUACUCUUGCGUUUAAUAUGUAUGUAAUCUCAACAAACUACAAAGCAGAGAAAAAAAGGCUGCUUGUUUGGAGCCCAGGAAUACAUUCAGUUUCAUUUUCGCUAGAACUAAAAAAAAAAGAACCUUUGUGUUUUGCAACUUUGAAUGCUCGAAAGAAACACCCAUGUUAAUACCAGACAUGCUAACCAAAAAAGGUUCCAAAGAAUAAAAUAGAUUCAUGAAUAAUGAUGAUAAAAAAUUGCAUUGAAGAUUAAUACAGUCCAGAACAGAUCACCACAUGUAUCGGUGCUUCUUCACUGGGACUGAUCUGAUCAGACAUGCUAUCAUCUGGGGAAUGAUUUUUUGUUUCUAGGAUUAUCCAGUCGAGUUUAGGAUAACUAAAAGAACAAGUGCUACAGCAUUGCUAUUGUACUAUUGUUUUGGAUUUUUUUUCCCAAAUUAAGUUGUACUGUACCAUCGAAUGUGUUGACCCAUUUCGUUGACACAGAAAUCAGUCCCCCAAAACUUAUAUCCAUAUCACCAUGUGCACGUACAGGGGACUAAUUUAAUAACAAAAAAAUGAGUCAACAGAGCAAAAUCUUAGUUCUCAAUCUUGCCAGAAUUUUCAUCCCUGAGAAAACUGCCAAUAUAAAUUCUAUUAUUCCCUCCACAUCCUCAACGAACCAAUAUUACGCAGCAAGUAUAUACGUGGCUAAUUUUGACCUCACCAGUCAACUCCUCUACUGAAUUAAGAUUGGCACUAAACUCCACACUUCCCUUCUUAUGGAGUUAUGGUUGCCCCUUCCCUUUUAGUUUGAUGCUCUACAACUCACACCAGUUAUGGAGUUAUGCAAGCUUAACCUGAAGUUGUGCUUCUAGGUUGGGUUGUCACUGUGCAGGUUGCGUUAUACUAGAUCUUGGGUAAAAAACAUGCCUUGGGUUAUUGUUGUGCCAAUUGUUUGGGGCAGGAAUCAAUGAAUCAUCAGCCUAACACAUACAAUCCUACUGCAGCUUUACCAUUCAAAUGUUGACUGAACCAGCAACUAGUGCACUUGAACCGUAUCACAUUCAGCUGCUGUUCGUCAUGUCCAGCGACUUCAAGGAUAAAGCCAUUUGCCAUCAGGAGAAGAAACCUUGGCCAAGUGCCCAACUGUACUACACACAAGUUGCAGUAAAAGAGCAAAAAAAAAAAGGUUCAUUAUCACAAUUCCAUAUGGAUAGUAGAUGCAAAGACAAGCCAACUCCUGCUCAAGACAUGAUCAUUUGUGCUGGAGGUGGGAACACAGCCAGCAGGUAGACAACCUCCACCUCCCUGGAUCCUCACCGAGGAUUGACCAUAGCCAUCAUGGCCUCGGCAUGAUUCAAGCAGAGCCAUAUUUGCCAAGAUCGUGAUACAGAUUGUAGGAUCAUAAAGGUUGCAUAAUGUGGAUCCGAAUUCGUUCAAAGGAUUGGUAAAAAAAUAACGUUGCUCCUAUAUACCACCCUCCCUAGUUUGAUGAACGAGGGUCACUACGUACUAAGAGAACGCAUGGAUCCCGAGUCUCCAACAGUGCGAGUAACUGAAUGGCACCGAUUAGCACCAAGGAUCACAAGACACACUAAAUGAAGGUAAAGGUGGCAUUUUUUGUGGUUUUUCUGUCGGUCUGAACCCUCGAAUCAUGAAAUCGCGGCACUAGAAGAAAGUCCACGGGAAGAGCAAUCAAAAGAAAUGCAGUGGAUUUGAUUGAUUACCUUGGAAAUUUGUGUAGCUAUUUACCGGCCAAUGCAGCUGAAUCCCCUGCAGACCGCGAGCCAUGCGGCGAAGAGGACGGCGAGGAGGACGAGAUCCACGAGGAUGACCAUCCAGAGCUGGCGCCUCCAGGCCCAGGCGGCGGCGCCUCCCCGGUGGUCCCGCUUGGGCGUCCUCCGCGCGGCGAGCUCAGCGUCCCUCCUGGCCGCCUCCUCGGCCUCGGCCUCUGCGGCGGCGACGUCGUGCUCCUCGCGCGCGAGCGCGGCCUCGUCGUCGGGCGGGAGCGGGAGGCGCAUCGCGAGGCGCGGCAUCUCGUCCCGCAUCCUGUCCUCGGGGAGGCAUCGCAGGCGGCGGAGGAAGAGCAGGAGCUGCGCGGCCGGGAGGUGCGGCGCCUGCGAGACGGCGGCGAGCGCGAGCGGGGGUGCGAGGAGCAGCGCGUGCGCGCGGCCGGCGGCGGAGUGGGUGAGGUGGCGGUGGUGCGGCGGCGCGGCGGCGAGGAGGGCUGCGGCGAGCGGGGGGAGGUCGUCGGCGUCGGUGGGGAGCUCGGCGACGAGGUGGGUGUCGCGGAAGACGCAGGCGUAGAGCAGCGGGUGCGAGGCCGGGAGCAUCCGAGGCAAGCCCCAAGGCGGGGCGGGGGCGGGGGCGGCGGAGAGGGAGAUCCGAGUUGGGUGUUGGCGGCGAGGCGAUGCCGACGUGGUGGGGGCGGGCGGCGCUGCGCUGCGAUGCCGAUGCGCUGGAGGAAGGGGAAGAAUUGCGAUUGCCUGGCCGGGUCUGUCUGCAGCCUGCUUGUGUGUGUCUGUCCGUCUGUGGUCUUCUUCCUUCCUUCCCCUGGCCUGGAUGAAGGCAGACAGACUGGACUUGUUUCAUUCCAGAUUUCAGUUUCUUUCUCUCAGAACCAAAAAAAAAAAAGAACUUUCUUUUUUCUUUUCUUUUCCUUCUUUUAUGUAAUUCAUCACCAUUUUUCUCUUUUUUGGAUUGGAUGUCCACUCUAAAAGAACUGGUGAUCAUCUUGGCACUGUAGUAGUAGUAGCAGUAGUAGACAGACCAGGUGUCUGCAAGGUCGUGUGAGGUCUGAUCAUUUUCUUUUUCCUCAGAAAGGGCCGAUUAUGAUUUCGAUAUUUGCUUUUGCUUUUGUAAUAUUCAGUCAUAUAUCGUCGCUACAUGGAAUCUAUUCCAUUUGUAACAAUUAUAAUGUCGAAAUUUGUCUGAGAUACUAUAUGUAUGAAUGUGGUAUGAAUAAGAUGUGAUGGAACAAGAAGUUUGGUGGUUCCUUGUAGCGAUCGGAAUAAUACCGUUGAGCUGAGAAUUGAGAUCUCGCAGCAUUGUUCAUUCGCUACCUCGUCCUGAAGAUGAUUUUUAUUUAUGCUUGGAUUGGAGGCUCCUGCUCCUCUGUAUAAGUAAGUAAGUAGUGGUCCAUAUGCAUACGUUGGAUGCAUGUCGGCCUGGCCCGGCCGUAUGUAAAAUGAAUCCAACCCAAAUGCAAUACAGGCGGUUGCAUCCAUGUGCAGAUGACUGCUUGCUUGCUCAUUGUCAAUUUGUCAUUGCCCUGCCAAGGAUUGACUUCUCUUAAUUUUUCAAAUGAAUCCCGGCAAAACACCAUCUCAGACUAAUGGAGUUUAAAAGUAAUAUAUAAUUAACAUAGCGAGAGAGAUGUGCGAGGAGGAGUGAUGCUGAUGAUGCCCCUACUACCUGGCUGGACACCUGAGCUCUCUCCUCUGCACAGUAUUGUAUUGGAUUGUCAGCGCUCAACCGGCCAGGCCAACCACAUGUGUUGUGCACAUGGCAUAUAUAUAUGGGCUUAUAAUUAAUUUCUUCCGGUUUAUGCAAUGUAAUUAAUAGGAGCAAAGGAAUGCCAAGAAUUUUGGUUCAUUUUCCACCCUCAUUCAUACCCAUACAUGUUAAUUGGGAGGGAUUGGGUUUAUUGUGUCCAUGUCUCGCUAAAAUUCCUUGUCUCACACAAAGCAGCAAAAAGGUACUCCUCCAAUUUUCCUUGAAUGAGAAAAUGAGAAACCAAGUCCUUUGCUGGCAGCAAGAUCACCACUCAUUCCAAGUUUCCAGACUAAAAUCAUAAGCUGAAAAAUCCAUGAAGUCAUAGGCAAUGAGGCUCAUGUACUACUCACUCUGUAUUAUUCCCUCUUUGAACUAGCACUGUACAACACACAAGGUUUUACACUCGGAUCGAUCUUACUUUACAUCGCAUUGACAAUAUACACUAUAUAUGCGUACACAGAUGCUAGCUAGUAGUAUACAUGUACGUACAAAUCUCUUACAUGAAUAAAUAAACAAAGCAUUUCAUGUCUAGCAAAUCUGAUAAACAAAAGGGAUGCAAUGCAAAGCCAUCAGUGGCAGAUGGGGCACAUCAUGAGCCCGUUCUCGUUGCACUUGGCGCACCUCUCCACCUCGCCUCCCUUCUCCACCACCACCUUGCAGCUGCCGCCGCACUCCCAGCACGGCACGAAGCGCGCGCCGCCGCAGCCCUCGCAGCCGCGCCCGUCCUUGGCCGCGCAGGCCUCGCCGCGCGCCUUCACCCACCGCACCAUCUCCCUCAGCUUCCCGGACUCGGCCAGCUUCACGCACUCCUCCGCGCCGCCCACGUAGCGCCCCAUCACGAAGAGCCGCGGCGGCGGCGGCGCCGCAGCGCCUGAGCCGUCGCCGGCCAGCAGCUCCCGCAGCUCGCGGAGGUACUCGGGAUGCAACGACACGUCGCGCUCGUCGACGGCCCCCACGCCCGCCGCCUCGGCGCAGGCCUCCACCAGCUCCCGCGCGCGCUCGCAGUCCUCGAAGGUGCGCCGCACGCCGCGGAGCGUCGUCGUGUAGAGCACCACCCCGCCGCCCGCGGCGCCCGGCGGACGCCGCUCGGGGCAGCCCUCGAACGGGUCCCGCCGCUUCCACCUGGGCGCGCUGCCGUCGCUGCCCUUGCUCUCGCGGUCGCGCAUCAAAAAGGGGUUGUCCUUCACCACGCGCCGCCCCGCAAGCUCCGGCGGCGGCGCCGGCGCCUUCUUAUUGGCAACCUCGUCCGCCGCGGCAGCAGCAGGCGUCGUCGUCGGUUGUUGCUCCUUCUCCUGCUCCUUCUUCUUCUUCUUCUUCUUCUUCUUGGCCUUCUUGGUCUUCUUCUUCUUGGGAGCAGCUGGCGGCGGCAUGGUGUAGGCCUGCUGGUUGUUGGAGUCCAGGACGGGCUUCAUGUCCUCCAGGGCCUUGCUCACCUCGGACCACGACGCCGGGGCCAGCUCGUAGCCCUCCAGCUUGUCCAGGAGUGGCAGCGGCACCACGGUCUUGACGGCGGGCUUCUCCUCUUCCUCUUCUUGUUCUUCGUCGUCGGUUUCUUCUUCUUCCUCAUCCUCGUCGCUGCUAUCUUCCUCAUCGUCAUCGCCUGCUGCUUUGUUCUUGGCGAUGCGCCAGGGCUCCUCGACGGCGCUGAUGUCGAAGAGGGAGACGCUGGUGGGCGGCGGACGGUAGACGUCGGCCACCGCGACGUCCGUGGCGGCCUUGGAGCCCGCGCACCCCAUGGCAGCUCUUGCUAGGUGUGCGGCUGUGGAGGGGACUGAAUAAUAGUUAGCUGGUGUGGUAGAAGAGUUUGGAGUGAGAGGUUGUGGAGGGAAGAGCUGCAGAGUUUUUGAGUGGCUGCCUCGCUCUCUGAUGAUAAGAUGACGACGCUGCGUGGGCUGCCUGGGUCAACGUCCCACAGAGAACUUUUUUGUGCAAAAUUCAUAGCUUCUUGUUCUAAAACAAGGAAAACUAACUUGAGAUGUCAGGACAAAUUUAGAUGCUGUACAUAUAUCUACUGUAGUCAUAGAACCAAACAUGCAUAAUUUACGACCCCAGCAACCUAAAGCACUCUUUGGAACACACGAAUUUUAUUUCCAGUGAUUUCGAGAGAAUCCAGCAGCAUUCCAGAUGACGUUCAACGUCUAACAGCAGCUGCAGUGCGCGCCAAAACAAAAACGACCCACCAGAUGGCAUGGCAUGUGAAGGAGCGCACGCUACGCUACCGUGCUUGUGGCCAUACGCUCCGUCACUGAUGCUGCCUGUGACCAAGUGAUUUGCCCUCCAUGCUCCACGUCAGGCCACCAAUUUUAUUACUGGCUGCAACAAGUUUUGACUCCCGCCGCCUUUCUCUCUCCUUCAUUUCCCAGCAAUAAGGGUGGCAUUUCUAUCACCAGAAUAAUAACAGUCUCAACAUAGUACUCUUAUACCAUAAACGCCUCCCAAAACCUUGAUCGCAAAACAAUUGGCAAUAGCCUGCAUUUGUGCUUCUUACAAAUACAGGUACCAAAGGAAAUGGAGAUGCAGAUAACUUUAACAUCCACAACAUCAGUACUGCGGGUAAUUUCGGGUCCAAGCAUACUGCUUACAUAAGCAAUACAUCUCUGGUGCUACCCAGAAUGUGUCCCAUAUCUCUAAGGGAUGAGUUUGGAAGUCUAUAUCUACUCAGCCUAAUUAACCUCUUGGAGCAUAUGCCACUCGGCAAACAGGGACGCAUAUUCACAACACGAACCCACUUUUUUUUUUCACUAGCUUCAAUGCCUACACAAUUAAGAUCACCAUAAAUCCCACCAGCUGCUUUAUUAGAUAAAAAUAUAUAUUACUAAAAAGAAACGAACAAAAUAUUACGAGCAGAUGCGUCACCUUUGGAGGAUCCAAGUAUCAUGGGGCAAACGAUUCACUUAUAACAAAUGCUUGGACAAGACUUCGGGCUGCAUGCAUCUGGUCUGGUGUGCCAGAUAUUAAAACAGCAGUGUCCAUUGCAUCAGCUAUAGGUUCAGCGACUGCUAUCUUAGCUUCCGAAAACUGCACACAAGUUAAACAGGUCAAGCACGCUUAUCACACUAGCAAUUGGACAUGCUGUAAAAAAUACUGGUUGAAUACAGACCUCACGAAUCCUAUCCAAACAACCUCCAUCUUCACCACAGAGAGCAGGAAUAACUAAUCUUGGAACAAAGACCUCUGCAGUCAAGUUUGGCAUCAUGGAUGACUGACCAGGACUGUAAUGACAAUUUUCCCAGGUUUAAAAACCUAAGUUGUUGAUCAAGAGUGGAUAUAAAAAAAAGACAAGUUUCUGGGAGAAGAAACAAACCCAGAAAAUCCACCGAGUUCUCUAUGCUCCGCUCCGGGGAUAUCAGGUAUUGACAUUGGAUCACCAACAUCACGAAUGCCCUACAAAAUUUGGGCCAGAAUUGCAUCAGAAUAAGUAUAAGAAACAUGGAACUCUAUAGAAAGAUGCAUAAUGCCAUAUCUGUUGAGUUUGCUGCUCAAGCAGUAGUGAUCAGUUGGUUCGGUACCUUUAUUGUCCAAGGGGCAGAGAUCCCAUCCAAUGGCCGUCCCAUAAAAUCUUUAUGAAACAGAGAUGAAGAUUCAUGGUUUCCCACAUAUGGACCAAACUGAGAAUCUAACAAACCAAAAGGUGGCCGCAUAUUAGGACCCAAUGCAGGCAUUCUGUCUCGGAAAAGAUGGUUACGAAGCCUAGCAGUUAUCUGCAUUAGAGCUUCUUGAAUAGCGUCACAGCCCCCGCUUAUCUAAAAAUAGCAAUUUUGCAGAUAAUUAAUAAAAAACAAAGGUAAAAUAUGAACUAGAAUUUCAUCAGGGCAAAUAAAGAUCUCAGUACAUUCUUUCAACAAUUAAAUUCUUCGGUAUAGUAGUACAACAAAAGCAGACCUGAAUAACUUCAUCAUCUUCUGGGACACCCAUCGGGAUCUUGUCUUUGCUCAGCACUACUAUAAAUGCUCCUGAAAGCUUCCUCAUUUCAGUUAUGAUGCUACCUCCUUUGCCCAGAAGGCAACCAACUUGGUUGGGUGAAACAAUCAGCCUACACAUUGCAGGACCCUCCUUAUCAGAGGCAGGCAACAUAAGUUUGCGCUGCACAUGCAAAAUGGCAUUCUGUGCAGGGGAGAUUCCAUCACCCGGAUGCUGCAGAACAAAAGAAAAGAUAAAUGGAUGCAUCAGUGAUCAGUGACUAGUCUCUCCUUUUAAAACUUCGAAUGACAGUGGUAGUGAAAUACUAAGAGUUAAGUCCAUGGAAGUCCUACAUUUCCUUUAUGCCAUAAGAGUUGCAAAAGGAAAAGGCAAACAGUCACCAGAUGAAUUAAUAACUCGAUUAAAGAACGAAAGAGUAAUUUAGGUAAGCAAUAAAUAACUACAAAAAAAGAAGCUAUGCAUAGAAAAUUUUGUGCCAUCCAGCCUUCUACGCACUCUCUGGUAAGUAGCUUAAUUUGAUUGAACUUUUAUCCUAUGUUUUAACAAGAUUAAUUGCGAGCUACUGACAACCUCUGCCUGCAGUUUUGCCCUUCCUAGCAAUGGUAUCCCAUACAGUGGUACCAAGUCUUCCGGAGCAUGCAAAAAUACAUUAACAUUGCGCUAACACUAAUUGGGUCCAGAAAAUUUACAACUCAAGAAAAGUGGAAUGGAGUUUGACAAUAAAGCGUAUAGCUCAGCUGAAUGCCAUUUACCCAGAAAGCAGGUCAGGAAGUACAUUAAAUGGGAACAAAUGAAAAUCUGAUACAAAUAUUUUGCAACAAGAGAUAAUGAAGGUGGUUACCGCAGGUCCAGAUAUACUUAUGAUGCGAUCAUCCGUUUUUGGAACAGUGUCAAGAACUUUUAUUUCACAGCCUGUAUCAUUUUGGAUAGUUUUAACAGUGUUUCCACCCUUCCCUAUUACACUGCCAACCUUGUCUUUUGAACACAGUAACCUAAAGGUGAGGGGUUCUAUAGGAACUGAGGCAUGGUUGUGCAUCGGAGCUUCAUGUAUGAUAGGAAAAGGACCAAUAUUUGGUUGACGAUCAAUGGUAUCAAAAGGUCCAUUGGCUUGGGAUGGCCCUUGCAAGGGGAAAUGGAAGUUAGAUUGCAUUCCUGAAGGAAAACCAUCUGACUGGCUAAACAAUGACCGCGAUGAUGAUCCAGAAGAAUGAAUACCAGCAACUACAUCAGAUUCCUUGGGUGGAUGAGCUAAGAGCAAUUCAGCUACUGCAUUCAGACCUUUCCUUACUGAGUCAACCUCUCCAUUGAUCUGUUUGAAUGAUAUAUCAACAAAGACCAAGAGCAAAAAUAAGUAUUUGAAAUAACUGAAUGAUCUUACAACACAACCAAAGAAAAUUUACAGGAGACAACUAGAUGAAACAUGAUCAUGAAAUCCAAUCCUGAAAAAUAUACCUGGCAAAGUCUGUCAUUGGAUAGUGCACAUGGUGGAAGGUUGUCCUUUGAAACACGGAUUUCACAGCCGUUAUCAACUGACAUUUGCUUAAUCACACUACCACCCUUCCCCAAAAGCCAACCUGCUUGGCUGUAUAGAACCAAUAAUCGCAAAGAAACAGAAGUGCUCGCACCCGAUGCAUCCCCAGUUUCAUUAUCAUCUUCAGCUGCAAAAAUCCUAUCGAAGACAAAUAAAAUGGCCUUCAGUGCUGAAGGUACUGCCCUCUCCGGUUCUGACUUCAUAUCUAUUGCAACAAAGGGAUCAUCUUUUUCUUCCUUACUGUGGUCUUUCUCUGAAUCAUCAUCCUUUUCUUCCUUCCUGUGGUCUUUCUCUGAAUCAUCAUCCUUUUCUUCCUUAUUACUGUGGUCUUUCUCUGAAUCAUCCUUAUCUUCCUUACUAUUUUCUUUCUCUAAAUCACCCUUCUGCUCCUUGCUGCUGUCUUUCUCCGAAUCAUCCUUUUCCUCAUUACGGUAGUCUCCCUCUGAACCAUCUUCUUCCCCCUUACUGAGGUUUUUCUCUGGAUCAUCCUUUUUCUCCUUACUGUUGACUUUAUCCUUCUCAUGGUCACCACGGGCAGAAACAGCAACACCUCCAUCAUUCUUUCCAAAUUGCUCUCUACUAGCUUCUACAUCCUUCUCAAUUGCAGAUAUGAAAAUAACUCUCUCGUCACAAUCUAAGACUGCUUUAUCAACCCUGAUUCUCACUCCAGUCUCUUGCCGUAUCUUUGCAAUAAUGCUGCCUUCUUUACCAAUUACAUUCCCAGAUUUUGAAGCAGGGCAAAGAAUGCGAAAAAUGGGAACACCAGGCUCUAUUUUGAACUGAGAUUUAUGUGAAGAAGAAUGCUUCGUCUUCUGCCACUUGCCCCGGCCAUUGUGGUCUGAAGAAUUUUUCUGAAACGGCCUCUUAGAAGGUGUCACGCGUGAAGCCAUGCCUUCUCCUGGUCGAUAAACAAGCAGACGGCAACAACCAUAAUGUCAAAUGAGGUAGCACAGCAGAUAACUCAAUAAACAAAAAUAACUGCUUGCACACAAAAAAAAAAGUGGGACCAAUUGUUACAGUCAAGAAGAAAAGGUGGAACUGAACAAAAUCCAUCCCAUUUCGCAUAUAAGUAUUUGUAAUCGGUUGGUAGCACACGUUUAGUAACAGGAUACAUGGCAAACCCUCAACGAUAAUGUAAGAUACUAAGGUUGAAACACUAGUUAUUACUAGUAGCAUCAGGGGCGGACGCAGGAUAGGACAUAGGGUUUGCACAUAUACGCCCGAUCAGUUUUGCAAAACAUCAACUUUACUAACGCCUGCAUAUGGCAAACCCUCAUAAGGAUGCCUGCGCGUUUUGUAUAUAGGUUUUGCCACAUCGAAGUUAUUAGUCGAUAGAAUACAGUCAGAUCCGAAUACAAAUAGGAUUUGGGGUGUUCGAUUUCGCACAGCAGGAAGGGAAGGGAAUGGGCGGGUAUACCUGGCUGACGCUCGUCGCCGGCGAAGCGCCCUGCGAAGACUGGCCAAGGGCGGCGGCGCUCGCGCUGUCUUUGCCGCUAGAGGGAAGGGGAGGGAGGUGAAGGCGUGAAGCGGAGAAAGACAAAGGAGGAUUGAACGCAACGCACGCGUUGGGAAUUUGGGAUGGAUCUCCACAGGAAGCCAGACUAGCAAAGGUGGGGCGGAGUGGCCGGGGGGCGAAUUGCGUCGAUCCGCCGACUGGUGGCGCCGCCAACUCGCCGCCCUAGGUUGAGCAGGCUUACGGGGAAGGAGCAGGGGGUAUUUUAGUCAUUUUUCCGGUAUUGCUCCGUAAAUGUUUGAGCAAUAGAACGGAGAGGCUACUAGCACCAACUAUACAAGAGAGCUGCAAACUUACAAUUAUUUUACGUGGAAUCAAAACUAAGAAUUAUUCAACACAAUUUACAAAAAUAGAAAAAGUUUAUUUUUGACCAUCGAACCAUAGUCUCGGUUUGGUUUUGACCAUUAAACUCGAAAACCAGGAAUCUUUAACCACUCAACUCUAUAGACCGUGUACAAAUAGCCAUCGAACCCUAUUUUAACCGGAUUGAGGUGGUUUUGACUGCCACGUUAGAUUCGAACACCAUGUCACCGUGCUGAGUUAGAUGGGCCCACAUGUCAGGUUAGACUCUUCCCCCUCACGCCUCUAUCUUGAGUGGGAUGGCAGGGUCGGGAUGGGACGCCGCUAUCAUCGUCAUCCUCAUCGAGGAGGAGUGGCGUGGCGAGGCCGACCGCGGGACGGCUUGCCUUGCAACUACCAGCGCUGCCCCACCAGCACCAAGCCCUCACUGAAUCCUUCCUCCCAGUUUCACCUCCUCCAUCCAAAUCCUCAAAUUGCCACCUCCAAUCCGCCACCGUCCUCGACCGCCGCAGCCGUUGACACGCUCAGAAUGGCCUCUGCUCCUCCCCACCAUCACCUUCUCGCUGCCCUCCACGCCGACCACCCGUCGGGAGCUCCGCCUAUCGUCCAUACAUUUGUGGGCCUACCAGAGGGUUGGACAGUACUAGAUACGUGGUUGUACACCAAGACGUGUCAGAUAUGGAGAGUACAAUGCAGGACGGCGUGGUCUAUGUGGAGGGCAAGAACUACUCGAGAAUUAGAAACUACUCGUAGCAAAUAGAGUAUGACUCACUAGUCAAAUCCGACUAGUAUUCUUGUAAAUAACCGACCUGUAACCCUACCCCCGAUAAUAUAAGGCGAGGCAUGGACCUCCUUCCAACAAGUUCAAUCCAAUACAAUACAAACAACACACAGGACAUAGGGUAAUACUCUAUUCAACGGUCCGAACCUGUCUAAAUUGUGUGUUCGAGUUCACCUUCGAAUUCUUGAUCUCGGCGAACCCCACGCAUAAAACACUACCUCUGGCACCCCCUCGAUAGGUUACAGGGUCUAAAUAUCGACAGCUGGCGUGCCAGGUAGGGGAUCUCGUUGAGAAUCCACUAGCAAACUCGAUGGCACAAGUCAUCAUCAAGCCCACCGUCGCGUUCAAAGCUGGUGCGACAUUCAUCUUUAGCUCCUGGGUUUGUGUCACAGAUAGCACUGGAAACUUCCAUCGCCACAUCGCAUCAGCCCUGGAGAAGAAGUAGUACAUCAUCAACCUUCACCACCAAGCUCUAGAGGAUUUCGUGACCUAUUCAGAGGCUUAGGGGAUGAGUUCGAGUACAACUCAACUUCUCCCACUAGCCGGAUCGGUUCCCAUGAGUUGGUGCUUAAGCCAUCGUGCGAAUUGGUCUAUAAUACAAGUCGAUUCCCGUUCGGACUCCGAAACACAGGUGUUGUCUACCAAACCACCCUAUUCAGAUCACAAUCCAACUCGGAUUUGAUCGAGUACCCUGACUACUACUCGGAUCCGGACGAGGAGACUCCAUUAUCAGGACCACAACAGGGCCUGGUAAUCACAUUGACUCCACAAGGCAGAUUCGUCUACUAGCCCAACAUGAAGCCACCUGCUCUUGACAAGGACGACGUGUCACGCCUUGUCGCCUACCUGACACCCUCCCAUACCAGGAGGGUACCCCUCUAUCGCGUGCUUGAACAGGCGCCUCAAUUGUGCCAUGACGUCGUCCAUGGAGAUAUCAUUUGAUGUCAUCCGGGAUGAAUCAUUGGAGCCAAAGUAGUCAUCCCCAGGUGCACCGCAGUUGUAGGGGUUGGACUCGUCUCUUCAUGAAGCUAAAUGCUACGCUUACUCCUGCCAACCAUUGCGACUAGAGUACGGCAAUCUUCUCCAGGAGAUCAGGUAGUUGCAGGCUGUCUUCAUGGGUAGGCUCAUCCAACCACCGGUUAUUCCAAACCGGGUGAUGGCCUGUCACCUUGGGUAGUCUGGGUUAAUGAUUCCCAAUAUAACACAACCUCUCCUUCCAGCCAGAGAGGGAGUCAAUUAGCUCAUAAUCCAAAUGCAACCCUUUGGCUUUUUCCCCAGUUGAAUGUCUGCCCUCCACCCCCGACUACUUCGGUAUGCUCCAUCUUGGGCUGGGGCUUGACUCUGCAUAACUUGCGGAAUAGCUGAAAGUGUAGCUAGAUUCCAAGAAAAGCUUCGCACAGAUGCACAAAAAUAGCAACGUGCAGAAUGGAGUUGGGAUUGAGGUGAACCAAUUCCAACUUGUAAUAAUUCAAAAGCCCGCGGAAGAAAUCCGAUGUGGGCAAAGCCAAACCGCUCUAUGAAGUGCGUGAAGAUUACCAUCUUGUGGGUGUAGUUCUCCAUUUGCCAGGGGCUGCCUGCUCCAGUUGAUGAAGUCUUGAUCUUGGACCUGGAUAUCCGCCUCCUUUAGCACGGAUUUCUUCCAAACACAUGCCGGCAAUGGUGAGGCCGUCUGGUCAAUCUUUCCAUACUUGAGCGCCGGAAGCUGGAUCUCCUUCUUCUUCUCUACCUUCCUCUUCUUGCUCUCCGCCACCUUGCUGGAUGUCACCUUCUUCCUCAUUUGUGCUGCCAUAAGGAUCUUAUUGCGUAUGCGCUCGGGGGCUAAGUGGUGGGGGACGGUGGUGCUCGAGCUCAAGGAUCGGGCAACGGCGGCGUUAAGACGUAGUGUGUGGAAGAUGAAAGAGCAGAUGGCUCGGGUGAAAUGGAAGGGAUGAUUUUCUCCGUUAUUUAUAACUGCAGCAUAGUUAAAAUAGUGGCGAUAUUAACGGGAAUAUUCUGUUUUUAAAUGCCCGAAGUCAUCGCUUGACAGUUUCCAAUUUUCUCGAAAGGGAUAAGGUUACUAUUUGUGAACGGUCACGUUGACCAGUGGUUGAUCUUUAUAUCCAAACUAGUCGUGUAACGGUCUGGGGGUUGUGUGCCAUGUGCCCAUCGGCUAAAAUAUUUUUUCUUUGGGUUCUAAGGAAAUAAAGAUGUAAAAUUACAAGAUUGACCCUCAGCUUGAUUCUUCGAUUCAACCUAAGGCUUGGGGGCUACUCCAUAUGAAGUGCGAUUUUCAUCACAUUUUCAUAUAAAAUUCUAAGAUUGAAAAUUCAAGACCAAUUUAAAUGAAGCUUGAGCACAUUCUAGUCGUAUGGUAGUGUAACAGCUGCCAUUUCAGUCAUUAAAAGUGACUUUGAAAAGUUGGAAGCAAGUCAAGAAGAAAAGAAAAAGAAAUUGGCCGAAAAUCAAAUUCGGGUCAAAUUUGGCCGAAAUUCGAAUUUUGAAUUUGAAAUUCAGAAAAAUUCGGCAAAAAUAUGGAAUGAAGGGGUAAGGAUGAUUAGAACUUAAGGAUCAAAAAUUUGGAACAAGAUUUGAUCCUAAACACUCAAAAGAAAUCAGAGAAAGAAAUGAAAAACUGAACUUACUGUUCACCGUCCGAAAAUAGGAAUUCAGAAAAACAGCAGCAGAGUCUGUUUUCAAAAUUGAUUUCUGAUGAAUUUUUCAAAUAAGUGAAUCAAAACAACUACACCAUAUUAAAGUAUGGACUUUGGACUACAAGAUUUGGGUGUUGUUGACCAGCAACAUGGAAGGGAAAAAUUUCGAAAUUGAGCUCAAAGUCAGCACAUUGUCACAGAUGACUGUCACUGAAAAUGGCUAAGUCUGAAAACAGCAGCAUCUGGUCGACUUUGGAGUUAAUUUCAGAGCAAUAUAGAUCUAAAGGAGUAGUCGUUCUUGAGCAAAAUGGAAACUUGGGAUGUUGUAGAACACAAAUGGAGAGAAGUUGGACUGGAAGAAAAGAAAUUGGAUCACUAAAUUGAUUCACCAAGUGAGAUCGAUGUCACUGUCAGUUAACUGACGAACUGAAUAUCGGAUUCAGUAAAAUUCAGACAAACACGAGAAACAAUUCAAAAUUCAGCUAUGUUUGAUGCUUAUCUCGGGUCAGAGCCAAAAUAAAAAGUGAAGGGUUCAAGUUUAUCUCCAACUUCGGUUAAAACACUUGGGGACCGUUGGAUUGAAGAUCAACCGCAAUUUUAGUCUGAAGUCACGGGCGCCAGAAGAAGGAAAGAGGAGCGGUGACAGAGCAGGCUCGACGUGUCGCCGCCACCGCUCUCGGUCGCUUGCCAGCGCGACGGCUAGGCCACCUCCUCACCACGCAAGUCUACAAGUAGGCCACGGUCUCGCCCAUGCGCGCAGUAAAACGUUUGUAUAUCUACCGCUCCCGCGCCGCCGUUUCUACCGCUGCCUUUUUUACCGCCGCCGCUCCUUCUGCCAAGUCGCCGCCGCCGGGUAAAAAAAUUCCACCACCACACCGCACCUCCCGUCGAUUCCUUCCGUCCACACCUCCGCCCACACCCCACCAGCAACCCUAGCAACUUGUUGCCCAGCUUCUUCGUCGUCACGCCUUGAACCGCCGCCGCUUCUGUCCGCCGUCGCCGCGCCUCCCGCUCACGGUGAGCACUACCUUGCGCCGGUUCCCUUCCUUCUUAUGUAGUCGUAGGCGAGUCCUUAGGGUACUAGGAUGGUGUAGAAGCAGUCGUUCGAGUAGUUUGUGCCGCCGUCGUGUGUAGCCGCGACCGGCCGAAGGUGUCGCCGCCCGCCGCCAUGGAGGGAGUGGCUCCAGCCAUCUCCCGAGGAGCUGUUGCCGCGCGCGGGUACGUGAAGGUGUAGAGGUGGUGUCUUGGCCUAGUCUCGCCGCCGGUAGGGCGCCGGCCGGCGAGUAGCGCCGCCCCCUGUCGCGCGCGCGCGUUUUGGCGGGAGGAAGAAGAAGCGCCUGGAACUCGGGCCCGCGCGGCAGAGAGAGAGAAAGGAGGGGAGGAGAAAGAGGCCAGGGCGCGGCCGUCUGUUGGGCCGCGGCCUUGAAGCCCAGAAACACGCGCGCGGUUAACCGAAGAAAGGAAAAGGGCCGGAGGCCCAGUGGGGAGCAGGCCGCGCUCGCGAAAGAAAAGAGAAAAAGAAGAGGGCCGUUGGGCCGGUGGUAGGCCGAGGAAAGGAAGAAUCAGCCCACGGGGCCCGUCCGGGGGAGAAAGAGGUCGGCGGGUAAGUGGAACAGGAGAAGGUGGGUCCGCACCGUAGGGCCCAGCGAGUGCGUGAGAGCGGGUAGGUUGGAGCCGCGUAAGAAAAGUUUUUCCGGGUGUUUUUCGGGAAAAUUAGAUUUCCUUUAUAGAAUAAUUAGUUUAAAACCCAAUUUCACCAUUUAAAUCACAGAAAUUUCUAGGAGUGUCCAAAAUUAGUGAAAUCAAUUUUGUUAGACUUGUUUUAUUUUCCUUUAUGCAUUAAAAUUUUUACACCCUAUAAAAAUAAUAAAAAUUUGGAUAUUUAUUUAAUGCCUUUCUUUUAAGGUAAUUAAAUAAAUACUUAAUAUUUAUAAAAUGUAUAAAAUAUGGAAUAACAUUUUCUUAAUCACAAAUUAUUCUUAACUCAUAGGAAAUUAGGUUUUCAAGUUAGAAAUUAAUUAUAACUUUUUCUAAAAAAUAAAAGAAAAAGCCUUAAGGAGGGUUAAGUAAGAAAAUAAAAUUGAGGGCUAAUCUUUUUGGAUUUUUGUGUUUUGACUUGCAACUUUAUCAUGAUAAAUUGUAUAGUCCUUGUUGGCUUGCAACUUUAUCAUGAAGGAAAGUUGUAUAGUCUUUUAUUUAAAAAUUUGCAUUCCUAACCCCUACAUGUAUUGUGCUAUAGAUCCCGAAGCACCAGAAGGAGAAUAUUUGGAAUUUUCAGAAGGAUCUUCGGAGUUCGAAGAAGUCUUUGAAUUAGUCCCAAGCCAACCCGUCAGAGAAUACUAACUUUUUAAGCGAACAAGGCAAGCCCCGGUGCAUUUAUACCUAUCUAUUUUGGAGUCAUUAUCGCAUGUGUCCAAUUAUUGGUUAUUUGCUAUUUGUAUGCACUAAGUUUAGGAGUUGCUUGAAACCUAUUCUUGUGUAUGAUCAUGCCUUGUUUUAAGGACAUCUUUGCCACUUGUUCAAACCUUAGAAGAUACCCAAGUCUAGAAUUGCUUACUUGCUUACAUACUUGGUUUACCAACCUUAAGGAAAACUUUUGAGUCAUACAUAUGAUAUAUGGAAGGAUAACUUAGAAAUAGAGAAGCGGACAGAAGCUAGAGAUGUGGUUCUGUCUGCUAGAUUAAUUUGGUUAAGGCCCGAUUCGUUGUCUUAACCUUUGAUCAAGUGAUAAGCAUCUGAUCACUUACUGGGUAUGGGACUAGUAAAGCCCAGUAGGUUAGUAAACUCUAUGAUCGGGAAUACUUCAUACCCGCGCUUGACGUGCUGGAGAUUGGCAGGGGUGUAGCCUGAAACCCACAUGGUGAUUGGGCCAGACGUGGGGUCCCAUGUGGGGGUGCAUCCCUGGGUCCGGGUAGUCUUAUUCCCAAUCAUUGAUUUUGCUAAUCGAAAGGUUGUUAUGUACGACCUGGACAGUCGUAUAAAGCUAGUGAUCAGGGUACUCUCCUGCAGGAUGUAAAUGGAUCCGGAUCGCCGCAAUUCUCGGUUUUGAAUGCACAUGAUCACUGUUGAGCAUCGUAGUAUAAAUUCAUGAACCAUAUAUCUGUCUGAUAAUGUUUGAUGUAUGACUUAAUAUCUAUGGUUGCUUUUACUUUCUGUUCAUCAUUUAGAAUGGUUAGGUAACAACUUAACCCAAAUAAAAGAUAAAACUAAGGCAUCACUCGUAGUAAGCUCUUCGGCAAAAGUUGUGUUAAGCCAAGUACACCCAAAAGCUAGCAUACACUUCCAAAGAAAGCUAUUAUAUUGGUUAGUCGGGUAAGACUUGCUGAGUACCCCGUACUCAGGGUUUUCCCUUGUGGUUAUCUUUCAGAAGCUCCGCAGGAGUCAACAGAGGAGGAAGCCUCGAAGCCCUAGCGUAUUGUUAUGAGUCUCACAAUACCCUUAAGAAGAAGUUUUUAAAUGCUCAUCUCCUCCUGAACUGUUUAUGUUUUAAAUCUUAGAACUCUGUCUAACACUGCACUGUUAAGUUUGUUUCAAUCUAUGUUUUGUAAUAACUCGUACCUUUUAUAUGUAUGUAAAAAUGUAAUAUUUGUUGAUGUUAUCCCAUCGCGGAUACUAUCCUGAUGUAUGGCUAUGAAAUACAAAUGUGGAUCUUUCAAGGAGUCCUAGGGACACUCGACGGACGACCGGAUUUAUACUGUUUUAAAUGCGUUUCGAAUAAUUGCUGCGUCGGCAGCAAUUAGACGCAUUUAAACCAGUUUAAGUUGGACGGUUCCGCCACAGGUAGUACUCAAAUAUGUUUGAAGAUUCAACCCAAUGGAAUACUCAAAGAGCACCAAAAACUAGUUGGAGAAGCCUACAGAACUACUUGGGACUGCUACAUUUGAAUAAAAAAUACUCAAGAACUUGUCGUACAUACAUCUAUGGGUCCACCAGAGGGUUGGACAGUCCUAGAUCCGGAGCUGUACACCGAGACGUGUUAGAUAUGGAGACUAUAGUGCGGGACGGCGUGGUCUACGUGGAGGACAAGAACUAGUCUUGGAUUAGAAAAGUACUUGUAGCAAAUAGAGUAGAACUCACUAGUCGAAUCCAACUAGUAUUCUUAUAAACAACCGACCUGUAACCCCGCCCUCGGCAAUAUAAAGCGAGGCAGGGACCCCCUCCAAAUAAGUUCAAUCCAAUACAAUACAACCAACACACGAGAUGUAAGGUAUUAUGCUAUUCAGCGGCCCGAACCUGUCUAAAUUAUGUGUUCGAGUUCACCUUCGAGUUUCCAAUCUCGACAAGCCUCACGCAUAAAACACUAACUCAGAUACCCUCUUAGUAGGUUGCCAAGUCUAAACACUAACACUAUCGCCGCCUUUCCGCUGAGCUCACCCAAGUGCGGGCUGCCUUCAAGCGCCUCAGCUCCCUCCCGGCUCUCGCUCCCGCCCCCUCCUCCGCGCUCUCCGCCACCGACCCCUCCACACCGCUCCCGCCGCAGCUGCUGACGUCCAAGCACAAGUCCAAAGAAGGGCGGGGGAGCCCCGCACCUGCGCCUCUCGGCGAAGGCGCGGCGCAACCUUUACGUGCCCGUGCUCAAGAGCUGCGUCGCGCUGUUCCAGGCGAUGGGGUGGGGGCGGCGACGACGACCUCUGCGACGCAUACCUGGAGCAGCACGCGCUGUUCCAGUCGGUCGGCGAUGCGCGGCUACUCCACCGGGCGCUGCAGGCCUCGCGCGUCCACGCAAUUUAAAAUAAGAGGGUACUAGUUAGCCUCCUCGCAAGAGCCACGGCGAGGUUGCUAGCAGAAAGCGGGCGGGUACUAUGCGUCAUGGAUGUUGGAGGCAAUAAAGAUAUCAGUACUAAGAGGGGCAUCAAUGAUGGGCAUGGACGAUGGUGGGAGGGUUCUACUGAAGGUCAAAAUGGGGCAUUCGACCGGAUUUGAGCAUGAGGUGGUGGCAGCGAGGGUGUGCUCGCCCGGAGCCAAGAAAGAAAGCAUAUGUGAACAAGAUGUCAGAGCGUAAGGGAGAGGAGCAAUGGUGUGCAUGGACAAGAGACGCAUCGGCACGAUGCGUGUGGUGGAAUAGUGGAUUUUUUAUACUAGGCGUGACCAGGUAGAUAAGACUAGAGUUGAAGAAGCUCUCAACUAAAACGUAUUAGAAGAGCCCUCUCCCUCUAUUCGCCUCCUCAAAUUCAAAAGCUACUGCACAGAGGAUGAACUCGAUGUCACUACAAUGUAUUGCACUGCGAAUGGAUGGGUGGGAACCCAUAGGAAUGAGAAUGAGAAAGACUAAGCAAUGUUGCAUGUGACUACUGUAUGGUGGCAAGGGCAAAUGUGUUUCCAAAAACAAGCUAACAUUAUCAUAUCAAAUAUAAUAAAUAAGAGUCCUAAUUUCUUAAUGAGACUUAAAAGACUCAUAAUUUCUUAAUGAGAGUAUGUUGUAAGCAUCUUCUGAUUUUUAUAAGACAUGAAUGUUGUUCACCGCCACGGAAAAAUAUAUGUUAUUCCUUUUUUGCAAUCGGUUGUCUAGACGAGCAAAAGAAAAAUCACUUUAAACAUCAUAUCACGUGGGAUAACAUCGAAUAGAAUGGUUUCAUUAGGUAAACUUUCCUUACAUGAAUGUUCAUAAUACUCGUGAUCUGUUUGAAACUUUAUAGCGGAAAUACGUCAUUGUUGUGCGUCAUUCUCUAGUAUAAAAGGGGCAUAGUGGGUUUGCGUUCGCGUUUUUGUAGAGGAGGCCACAAAGAGAAGUAUAGUUGUCUUAACCUUGUCUGCCUCUCUAAUAAUCCUUUGUGUAUCGCGAGGGAUUUAGAAGCCCUCAUGUCAAAUCCGCUGGCAUCUAACUCUCUUCAAUUUUUGGCUAUGCCCCUCUUGGAGUGGUACUUGGCUAUUGGCUCAAUCCGACCAUUUCUUAUGAUGAUGAGGCAGGGAAACUCAACUAUAAUUCAAUCGUCCUUUGAAGGAUUCAGAUUGAGGGUGAUGUGUGUCGGUAAGUUAUAUAGGAUUUGCAACUAUUGUUUCUUUUUUCGUUCGAGUUCUCCAUACCGUUGCUUGAACAAUUUUUUGUAACUUAUCUCAGCAACCAGAUAGACAUAGCUAUUCAUUUUUCUCCAUAUACACUUUGUGCAUGCACCAACAUUGAUAGGGGUCAUCCAUAUCCAGGUUCAUCUCUAUGUUAUCUGCUCCAUGAUAAAAGAUUUGCAAGCAAGGGAGCACCGCCUAUCUCAUGUAUUCAGCCAAACGGAAAAAGAUAAGUUGGUCUGGUUUGUCUUGUUAUAUUUGUUCGAGUGACAUUUCUUUCACUUAGCAUGGCAAAUAACUAAUCUUACUAGCUUAACUAUCAUGAUCGUCAAAUUUUAAUUUACUCUUUUUAUCUAGUAGACAACCCAUCUUCCUUUUUAUACGGAUAUGAUCGACAAUCCAUCUUUAUUUGAUGUAUUAGUGAUAGGUCGGUGCAUUGUACCACCACAAUGCAUGUAAGUUUUAUGGCAGCCCACUUCCACGAGUUACUCAAGGCAGUGACUCAUCCUGAAAAAACCAAAAAACCUUAUCUUGCUAACAGUAUCUGGCUAGGCUUCCACGCAUAGCACUAGGAUCCGAUGGGAUAUGAAAAGGCAGCUUUAGUGAGCACAAGAGUCACACAAGUAUCUACAACUCAUCCAGGUCAUCAUACAUAGCUACAAGAGAACAUGCAGAAACAAAAGAAGGUAACUUUGUUCAUGAAAAUACAACAUACAUAGCGGAUUUAUGUAUAACAUCAGAAGCAACCGAUGAAAUGUCCAUUUUUAUUUCACAAAGAAACAAACGAUCCAAUAGUCACAUCCUUUCCAUCCUAAAAGUAUAGUAUAACUUUUCGGCACGAUAUAUGACAAAUAGGUGUUAGGUCUUGCUGAGAGAGAGCAUCGCAUCAUCGAGAGUAUACUUGGUAAGUAACAACAACCCGUGUGUAGGAAGUGGAAAAUCACAGGUGGCGCGCCGAAAAGCUACUCUGAAGUCUAAAUUAAAUUUAAUCGAGGGAAGCAAGCAUCGCAUCGGUGGCUUUGGAGCAGCAUGGCAAUUGGCAAGCGGUUGUCCAUGGCGUUGCCCCCGUGUUGAUGAGCACGCCCAUCACGUCGGGGGUGGGCCCGCGCACGGCUUUUCGUGCGCUUAACCCCUCCCUUCAUCAGAGUUUUCGCAGGCUAAUCCCGAUCCGCCCACCUGCAGCGCCGGCGCGGGUCCACCGCGUCAGCCACCUGUAACGCAGCGCGGGUAGACCGCGGCAGGGAAAAAGGCGCGCGGGCCUAAAACGUGUCAAGGGGCCUCACGUUUUCCGUAAAUAGGGUUCACGUUUCACACCAUCGCCACCCUCGUCUCGUCGAGCACCCGACCCGACGUGGCUAAGGCUGAGCUGUGGGGCCGCGGGAAAUGUGGUCCUACCCGUCAGUGACGUGCACACGUAAUCAAGCUCGUCCGCCUCGGGUGGGCGCACGGGUCACGUGGCGUCACGAGCCCCUCCUGAAUGGCUCUCUCCCGAUCCCGGCAGCUCCUGUGACACGUGGCCAGCACGUGCUCACGCGGAGGCUGGUUCUGGCUCCCGGCUGCAGCUGGAGCCCGAGCCCGAGCCGAGGAGGAGGAAGGGGUUCACGUGAAGUGAAGGGGUCCGGCCCGCUGCUGCUGGAUCCUAUGUGCAGUGCAGUGCAAGGUGGUGGUGCACCGACGGGGAAUGCGCCUUCACCACCGGUUCCAAACUCCCCUUUAGUACUGGUUGUGCAACCGGUAUUGCUAUAUCAAUAUUAAAAAAGUUCUUUAGUACCGGGUGAAAUAAUUGAUACUAAAUUAGCUGCCACGUCAAGCGUGGCCGAGACCUUUUUCCUUUUCUUUUCUUUUCUUUCUUUUCUCAUUUUCCUUUUCUGCCAUGUCACACGCCCGCGCCUCCAGGCCGCCGCUCCAGGCCUCCAAGUGCCCCGAUCCGAUCCAUAGUAGGGGUAGCGGCAGCGGCCCCUCGCGGGCAGCCUGGUGGUAGCUCCUCGUCGGAGGCGAGGGCGUGCAGGCCUCCGAAGUGGAGACCAACAGCGUGCACCCAGCGGCUCGAAGGCUGGGGCAGCAUGGCUAGGGCGUGGAGAGCGGCGGCGCGGCCAACAACGAGAUAGUGCCUGGCCGGGGGGGGAGACAGUGCGUGGCCGGUAGGGAGAGGAGGGUGGAGAGAU
rnacentral:lncRNA from 1 species